rnacentral:lncRNA from 1 species
UAGAGUAGAGCAGGUGGUACGUGAGUGUUCCUGUGUCGUACUGGGACCAAAAUAAAUAGAAUGGCGAGUUGUGGUUUGAGUGAAGAGUGAUGAAUGGUUCCUCUUGUGUAAAUUCAUAGCAUAAGAUGAAACAGUUGUAGAAAUUGUACGUACAGCGUGAGAAAAAGCAAAGAUAUGAGGAAUUGGACCAUCUCUCGCUGAGCGUACACGAGCGGUGAAUGCGGAUUUGCAUAUUUGGGAUCGUGAUAUUCUGAGAGGACCGAAAAAAAAGAAUUAAAAAAUUAAAAAAAAAUUAGAAAAGUUGCGGAGGGGUCCUAUAAACGCGGAAUCCCAAGCACGCCAAAAAGAGAUUCUUGUCAUUACUAAAAACUUAUUAAAGCAAGAGGAGAUCUACUGGUUACAAAGGGGUCGUGCAAACUGGCUUUUAUAUGGUGAUCGCAACACUUCCUUUUUCCAUAAUGCGGCGACGACUAGAAAAAAAAAAGAAAUCAGAUUAAAAAAUUGCUGGAUGACAAUGGUGUUUGGCUGCAAGAUAUGAAGAUGAAAAAUCAUAUUACGGGGUACUUCGCUAAUCUCUUUACUUCACAAGUUGCUCAACCGAAUCCGGAGGUUUUAUCCCUCGUCAGAAGAAAAGUGAUAGAUGAAAUGAAUAUUGCUCUCCUUGCCCCUUAUACGGCUGAGGAGGUUCGAAAGGUGCUUUUUGAUAUAGAAGACUUAAAAGCGCCGGGUCCGGAUGGACUACAUGCCAUUUUUUAUAAAAGAUUUUGGUAUAUGUUGGGGGAUGAUCUGACUGAAGAGGUGCUCCAGGCGAUGAAUACUGGCACUAUACCUAAUGGGUGGAAUGAUACAACAAUUGUAAUGAUCCCAUAGAUUGGUUCCCCGGAAAAGGUAACUCAGUUUAGACCAAUCAGUUUAUGCAACGUGGUGUAUAAGGUUAUUUCAAAAAUGAUUGCGGCUCGUCUGAAGUUAAUCCUUCCAGAUGUUAUCAGUACAACUCAGAGUGCAUUUGUACCAGGAAGAAUGAUCACAGAUAAUAUUUUAAUGGCCUACGAAUAUUUUCACACAAUAAAGAAAAAAAGGAGUAGUAAAGAGGGUAUAUGUGCCAUCAAACUGGAUAUGCAUAAAGCGUAUGACCGAGUAGAGUGGUCAUUUUUGAAGAAAAUAAUGCUAAAAUUGGGUUUCAAAGAGAAGUGGGUAGAUUUAGUUAUGCAAUGUGUAUCUUCUAUGGAGUACAGGGUUUGUUUUAAUAAUGAAGAGACUGAGAGCUUUAAACCUACUAGAGGUCUGAGGCAGGGAGACCCCCUCUCCCCAUACUUAUUCUUGUUAUGUACAGAGGGGCUGACCGCUCUACUAGCUAAUGCAGAGGAGAAUGGUAAUAUUUCUGGAGUUAAGGUCUGCAGAGAUGCCCCAUCAAUUUCAAACCUUUUAUUUGCCGACGAUUUUUUGAUCCUUAUGAAAGCAAAUGCUAUGAAUGCGGAGGCAUUAAAAUCAGUAGUGGACUCUUAUUGCGCUACCUCAGGGCAAUUGAUGAGUGUUGAAAAAUUUAGUAUUUUCUUUAGUCCCAAUACAAAAGUAGAAGAUAGAGCGCAGAUCUGCACAACACUGAAUAUUAUGACCGAAGCCCUCAAUGAUAAAUAUUUGGGUUUACCUGCAAAUGUGGGCAUGGACAAAAGUGAUUGCUUCCUUUUCCUAAUUGAUCGCAUUAUUACAAAAAUUAGUGGAUGAAAGGAGAAGUUGUUAUCCGCGGGAGGAAAAGAAAUUCUACUUAAAGCUGUUGUACAAGCUAUCCCAGCUUAUGCUAUGUCCGUUUUUAAAAUUCCUAAAAAAAUUGUAAAGGAAUCAUUGACGCGAUGUCGCAAUUUUGGUAGGGUGACGAGGACAAUCAGAAAAAGAUGCAUUGGAUGGCGUGGUGGAAAAUGUGUGUCCCAAAAAAACAAGGAGGAAUGGGGUUCCGAAAUUUACAUUGUUUCAAUUUGGCGUUACUAGCCAAGCAAGCGUGGCGUUUGCUUGAUAAUCCGGAAUCGUUAUGUGCCACAAUCAUGAGAGCUAAAUAUUUCUCCGAUGGCGAUUUAAUGAAUGCAAGUCUAAAGAAGGGUUCCUCUUUCACCUGGCAAAGCAUUAUGGCAGGGGUUAAUUCUUUAAGGAACGGCUAUAUCUGGCGAGUUGAAAACGGACAAAAAAUUGAUAUUUGGGAAGAUGCAUGGAUCCCGAAUUGUGCAAAUAGAAAAAUAAUUACUCCUAGAAGGGGGCAACUUUUGUCAAAGGUUUCUGAUCUUAUUGAUCCAAUUAUGAGUUAUUGGGAUGAAGACUUGGUGAGACAAACGUUGUGGUCAAUUGACGCUCAAAGGGUACUUGCAAUCCCCCUUUCGAUACAUGAAAUGACGGAUUUCAUUGCUUGGAGUUUCACAAAAGAUGGUUUGUUCGCUGUUCGAUCGGCUUAUUGGGAGGAAUGAAACAAACAGCAUGGAAGAAAAUUACAAUAUAUGUAUGGUAUGGGUAGAUCCAAUGCUAAUCCUGUUUGGAGCAAGAUCUGGAAGCUAUCUUGUCUGGCAAAGGUAAAAAUCUUCAUCUGGCGUACAUUGCAUGGAACAUUCCCAUGUCGUGUUACGCUCGCCAAUAGACAUGUGAAGGUCCCUCCCAUCUGCCCAACAUGUUCAAAAGGGCUAGAAGACACGAAACACGUCUUGUUUCUAUGUCAGAAGGCGAAAAAGGUCUGGGAUAAUUUGGGUUUGUAUGAGGUGAUCAAUAGAGCCUGUGUUGUUGACCGGGCAGGAGAGGCAGUUCUUGAAAUUUUAUUACUUAUGCCAGAGGAAGAAAUAUCUGUUUUGGGACUUCAGAAUGCACGUGAAUUGAUCGUUAUAACAGCUUGGUAUUUAUGGUGGGAUAGACGUAAACUGGUUCAUGAAGGAAAGUCUCAAGAUGCAUAUCAAUCUGCGAUGGGGGCCCGUGCUAUAGCGGCAAAUUAUGUUAAAGCAAACUCCCCUAAGGCGAUUAGUAAGAAAGGGGGAUGGCUUAGACCUCCUAUGGGUUUUGUGAAGCUAAACAUUGAUGCUUCCUUUGAUCAUGAUCUGCUUAGAGGCACGGCGGGGGCAGUCCUGAGAGAUGACAAAGGAAGGUUCAUUGUUGGCGGAAGUUGGCGACUUGACUGGUGUGCGGAUGUUCUAACGGCAGAAGCAUUGGCACUGAGGUUUGGCCUUACCCUAGCACAGAAGGCGGGGUGCAACCGCCUUAUUGUUAACUCUGAUAAUAUGGAAGUGAUUGACACGAUGAAGAAUGGAGGAUAAUCGGCGGGAGCGGCGACGGCAGUUUUUGAUGAUUGCUAUUUUAUGGCUUGCGAUUUUACUAUUACUAGAUUUGAACAUUAUAAUAGGGAAGCAAAUAAAGUUGCUCAUGAAAUUGCUAGGUUAGCGAAAUAUUCAGCGACUAAGGAUUGGUUUGAGGAGCCCAUGGUUGAUAUUGUAUCUCUUCUUAUUGAUGAUGUAAUUGUUAUUUCUAAUCAAUAAAGCUUAAUGUUUUCAAAAAAAAAGUUGCGUUUGAACUAUGGUACUCCCUCCGUUCCAAAUUACUCGUCUUAGAAAUGGAUGUAUCUACAAUUAAAAUACAUCUAGAUACAUCCAUACAUGUGACAAGUAAUUCGGAACGAAGGGAGUAUGAUUCUAGAGUCACGCUACGCGUCCGCCGGCGGAUAGCUAGAAAACAUCCGCCGCUUUGCUGGCCGUUGGAUGGACGUGGGGAUGUCUGGCCGUUGGAUGGACGCGGGGAUGUCCAUCCAAUUAACCCGCCAACGCGGUGAUGUCCAUCCUAUUAACCCACUCACAAGCGUCACCUCCUUUUUGCAACAAGGGCGGUGUUGCGGUACAAGUCCUGCAACAGGAUGCUUGUUGCAAAACGUCCACACCGCUAUUUACCUUUCUGAUACACAGUUUGUGUUGCGAGUUUUUUUUUUCAACUGAGGUCUUGUUUUAGAUUUUUAUUUAUAACCGAGGUUUGUUGAAAAAAUUGUCUUCAUCCUUUUGUAACAUAUAUUAUGUUAUAGGAGAAACUUCUGCAACAUUGAAGUUGUUGCAGAAAAAUUAGAGGGUCACAAGGAGUCACGCGCACAUGUCACGUGGGGCAUGUGUUGUACGAGUGAACAUGUGUUGUGUUGCAAAAUUUGUUUUUGACCGUGUUACGCGUCAACCGAUGAAAUCUUUUUAAAGAAUCCAUCAGAUUGUGAAUCGUCAGAUUCAUUGUAUCUUGUGACUUAAUGUUGUCCUCAUUUAUGAAACGGAGCAAAUUUCGUUUUGCAGUAUCUCGUGGCUUAAUGUUGUCCUCAUUUCUGAAAUAGAGAUGUGUUGUAAGUUUCGUUUUGUAACACAAGUCUUGUUGCAAAAAUAUUUGAAACAAGAUUAGUGUUGCAAAAGUAUUUUUUGUAGCAGAGGUCUUAUGCUAUUUUUAUUUUUUUACAACAAAGGUCUUGUUGCGUAUAUUAUUUGCAAUACGUGUCUUGUUGCAUAUUUUUUUUACGUCUCCACUUUUUUGCAACACCGAUAUUGUUAUAAAAGGUACUUUCGCAACACGAAUGUUGUUGUAGAAAAAUUACAGUAAAGAUGUAGUCACGGACCACGCAUGGGACACGCGUCACACGCUCCAGACGGUGGACGCGCGGUGUCGGAUCAACCGGCUGUUGACAAGCUUUUUCCCCGAUUCUAUUUCUACCAACAAAACUCUGUACUUUUAAAUCUCUCGAUGACGACGACAACAACAAAAAACUCUGUUCUUUUAAAUGGGAGGUUUAGAAAGAAGAUUUGUUUUCAGUGCUGGAAACGUAUGGGUGUGCAUUGGAAACUCGAAACUGAAACAGAGCAUACAACGGGCUUCUUUUUCCAAUCGACGAUGCUCACGUUACUUACGCUGUGUAUGCGGUCACCGAGAUGACCAGACCGACGUCUGACGGCAAGAUGAAGCACGAAACGUGGUUGCCACGUAGCCCCAGCGCCGGCACGUAGCAGCUGAGAUGGCGGUCAGCAUGCCCUCUCGCCUCUCCACGCGUCUCCUGCACCGCACCGCACCGCAAAGGAGGAUCCUGCCUGCCAGCUGCCGGCAUAUAUGCAACGCUGGUGCCCAGGUCCGCCGUCGUAGGGAUACACACUGCAAAAAAUACCUGUCGGCAAGGACGCCAAUGACGAUGCUGAUGGGCAGGCUGGCCGGCGUAGCGCUGCAGCUCGCUCUCGCCGCACUGCUCGUGCUCUUCCUCCCGCCCUACUACGUCUACAGGCUCACCGCCUCUUUCCUCGGCUCCGUCUUCCCCGACAGCGUCUCCGGCAAGGUCGUCCUCAUCACAGGCGCCUCCUCCGGCAUAGGCGAGGUAUAUAUAUAUAUAUAUAUAUAUAUAUAUAUAUAUAUAUAUAUAUAUAUAUAUAUAUAUAUAUAUAUAUAUAUAUAUUGUAGAUCUCUCCAAGAUGAUUCAUCUCUUACAUAUGGUAGAUUUUAGCUAGCUUCUUGCUUGUGUGUGUAGCACCUGGCGUAUGAGUACGCGAAGAGAGGAGCCAGCCUGGCGCUGGUGGCCAGAAGGGAGGCGAGCCUCCGGGAGGUCGCCGACCACGCGUCCGCGCUCGGCUCGCCCAGCGUCCUUGUCUUGCCGGCUGACGUCUCCAAGCCCGAUGACUGCCGAAAGUUCAUCGACGACACGGUUGCCUACUUUGGAAGAUGUAAGUCUGAGCUGAAUGGCAUCCGUAUAUGGCACCACAAUCUGCAGCCAAAUAUCGAUACAUGAAAUUUCUUGAAACAGAAGUGUGCAUUCAGAUAACUGGAACUGUCUUUUGACGCGCUUGAUAUUUGCAGUGGACCACUUGGUGAACAACGCGUCGAUUUGGCAGGUCUGCAAGUUCCAAGAGGUGGAGGACGUGAACUACUUCAGAACACUUAUGGUACACAGCCACAUGCCGUUUUCAGUUCUUCACACAAACUUAGGGCACGAAUUAACUUGACCUUUUUCUGCGCAUGUAGGACAUCAACUUCUGGGGACAUGUGUACCCAACUCGCUAUGCCAUUCCUCACCUGAAGAAAACCCAUGGCCGGAUCGUCGGUGUCACCUCCAACUCCUCCUACAUAUUCAUCGGAAGGAACACCUUCUACAAUGUCUCUACUCAGACGAGUCCCUUACACGCUUGCUUGCUAGCAUAUAUAAACAGUUGAAAUGCACGGGUACAAUGUGGUUGCUAAUGCAAAAUGACUGUUGUUUGCAUGGCAGGCGAGCAAAGCAGCAGCGCUAAAUUUUUACGACACGCUUCGGAUGGAGCUCGGUGGGGAAGUCCGCAUUACAGAGAUCGUCCCAGGGGUGGUCGAGUCAGAGAUCACAAAGGGGAAGAUGCUCACCAAGGAAGGCGAGAUGAAAGUUGACCAAGACGAAAGAGAUGUAACACGAGUUGCCACACGAUAUUAUCGUUCGACCGCGGUAGCAUCAUAUCAUUUCAUGUUGUUGAUGUAGCCAUAAUUGUGAUCAUUGCAGGCGAUCCUUGGGCCGACACCGGCGGAGCCUGUCGCCGCUUUCGCAAAGACGGCGGUGAAGGACGUGUGCCGGGGACAGAGGUACGUGUUUGAGCCGAGGUGGUACAUGGCGGUGUACCUGUUUAGGGUCUGCUUCCCGGAGAUCUUGGCCUGGAGCUCGCGGCUCCUGACCGUGAAGACGCUGGGGCGCCCUGCAACGACCGACACUGUGGGAAGACAGAUCCUCGACAUGCCCGGGGUGCGCUGGCUCACCCAAACGGCCUCGCUGCGGUCGCCGGAGAUUCAGGCCAGAUGAAAGUAGCUGGAUCGGCCCGUUGUGAUGUAAGAAGCCCACUACGAUGUCUGGUAGUAGUAAGAUGAAGCUUUGUCCAACUAAAACAUGCUUGUGUACUAGUAUGUCCCAUGGUCCGUAAUAAUUGAGAGUGGAAAAGAACAUCACAGUACUUUUUUUUUUCGUCUGAAAUCCAGUGGACACCGUAGAAGACAUCACUACUUGGUGCAAUGUGCAUGGAACUUCCACUUCUGAGUUACCGAAUUGGGAAUUUGAGGCAAAAAACAUAAAUUUGACCUCAAGACGAAACUAUUUCACAAACUAAACUAUGUUUGAAAGUAUUUCACCCAGCUGACCUUUAAUGUGCAGCGCCCAACAGCAAGGCGCUACAUUUUUAUUGUGCAGCGCCUAACACACAGGCGCCACACUGUGCACCGCCUAGCUGUAAGGAGCUGCACUACACUGUGCAGUGCCUAACUGUAAGGAGUUGCACAGUAGAGUGCAGCGUCUUACUGUUAGAAGCUGCACAAAAGGGUCAGCGAUGUGAAAUAUUUUCAAAAACAGUUUAGUUUAUGAAAUACUUUCACUUUAAGGUCAAAUUUAUUAAUUCUGCCGCGGCUUGUCAUAUAUGUGUGUGGGGGUGGGAGAGGUGAUCUAACCAGCUCAUGGAAGGACGUUCGAACACAAACAAUUUACAGGAACCUAGACCUAAUCACUAUUUCAGUACGACAUACAUUCAUUUGAACAUCGACUAAUUUCGGACAAAGGGAGUACAAAACAUUCUAUUCCCUCCGUUCCAAAUUACUCGCCGCAGAAAUGGAUGAAUCUAGAACUAAAAUACAUCUAGAUACAUUCAUACCUAUAACAAGUAACAGAAAUGGAUAUAUCUAGAACUAAAAUACAUUUAGAUACAUCCAUACCUACUACAAGUAAUUCGGAACAGAAGAAGUACAUUCUUUCGGACAGAGGGAUUCUUGACGGCCAGGUGAAUUCUUGAAUUGUCUUUUCAAUAAUUUGACAUAUUUUAUUAUCCUUGUGACAACAAACUGUUUUUGUUUUUUACUUAGUUCCAAUCCCCCAACGUAUAGAAGAUGGAAAAUAAUGCAAGAGCUAGAAGAUGAAAAAUAAUGCAAGAGCUACUGCAUGAAUCAGAGAUAAUGAACACAUUUUAUAGCAGAAGCAAAGAUGUAAAACGAGGAACUGAGUGCUGCUUAAGCCUAGAGCUGAAAACUUCACAAGUGCACUUAGCCUACUAGCCUAGCAUAUCAAGAUCAGGACGAUGUAGCUUUUGCAUUAACCGAGCAAAAAGGCUGACCAUAAUCACGGAGUGGUAUCCAUAAAGUCCAAAUUUCGGAUGUGCCGUUGAGCCGUACACGUUUUCAGCCUCUGAAGCAGGAGCCAUGCAUCAGCAGUCGAACAACCUUCGUUCAUCUCACGCACGAUAGGUCGAGAAGAUUGUCCGUUGUACUCAAUAUGCAUUGUACCCUACAAUUGAUGGGGGAAAACAUACACACCUUCGAGAUUUAAGAUGUUGUAAAUAAAAAACGAGGAACUAAAAUCAUAUGAAAUGAAUUCGGAUUUUUCAAAGUAAUCCAAAUGGUCCAUGCGCUGAAAGGUCUGAACAUACUUCUUCCCUAAUUAUGAAUACAAGGUAGUAGCACACUAUUUGAAGUGUUUGCCACCAAUAUAUAUAUAGAGGAAUAGCUUCAAAGAAAACCUGCAAUUACUACCAGUACAAUAUGAAGAGGCAACUGACCAAAUGACAGUAGUAGUAUUGGCUUAUGCGGUAACUGCAGCACUAGCAAAAUGUUCUUGCUAAGCUUCAUGCACUAGCCAACGCAAUCAAAAGUCCGAACUGAUGAAAAGGACUAGGCAAUCCACAUAUACUCCCUCCGUCCGGUGAAGAGUGUACAUUUGAAUUUAAAAUUUGUCCAUAAAAGAGUGUACUUCUAUCUUCCUAAUGCACUUUAAAGUAGAAAAAAAUGUUUCUCUCAUCACACGGUAAUCAAGACCAAUAACAUUCUACACAUGGUCUUCUUAAUGUUUACAUGCACUUAGUUCAUUGGGGGAUGGGUAAUUAAAGAGGAGAAAAUUGAUGGCUUGCACAUUUCCAAUGCAUUUUUUACUCCACUCCAUAAUUUGUCCAAAAAUUUCUAUAUGUACAUUUUUCACCGGACGGAGGGAGUACACUUCAACAGUUCUAAAACAUCAACCGAAGUCCAGCUACAAACAUGAAUGGUAAGUGCGCAGAUAUUAUAUAGCACAACUAGCAGGCUGAAUUGCUAUGUACUAAUCUGAACAUGCUUAACCUAACUUGAUUUAAAAGUUAUGGGGCUUAUUUAGCUUAAGGGCUUAUCGACUGGAAUUGUCAAAAUAACUAAGGCUUAUCUAAAGCAAGCUCAAACAGUUGGAAGGCUAUAAGCCUCACAAAAUUCAGCUUGUAGACCAAAGUGUUGCCAAAAAGGAUCUCCGGUGGCAUUUCACUCCCCUCCGGGGCCGACUUGGACGCACGAAGGGGCUUAGGUGCACUAAGACUUAAGGUUCAUCGCUUAAAAGCUAACAAUUUUUAUUUAUAUUUUUUACAGCAUUCACACAGUAUACAUUUAGUAUGCCAUGAAAUAUCAGGUGAAAAUUUGAUCGACACAUUAUUAAUUAAGUGACAAAAGACAUUCGACUUGGAAAUGUAAAUGUUGUCAAACUAGGAGCAUACUUAUAAGACAUUCAACCUAAAAUCUCUUGUGCGUGUAAGACAUUGCCAUCCCCUUGACAUUGUAAAAUGGUCUGCAAAAGUCUCAAAUAGAUUUUUAUUUACAUUUUACUUUAUUUCUAUCUGCCAGAGCAUACUAAUCAGGAGGGCCCUGUUUGUCCUAGCUAUAAGUCAGACAACAGAUGCACAGGCGAUUGAAACUAAUAUUAUUAGUCACGCCAGUAAGAAAGGACCAUAAGGCAAAGGUAUUAAUAAAGAUACAUAUCAAUAUUAUGAGAGGGAAAGAGGGAGGGGGGACCUCAAAUUUCUCCAAAUAAUGCUGAAAUCCACUCAGAAUUUGUUUCAUAGCGAUGUACGAUUCUGAGGUUGGAUCAGAAACGGCAGUUGAAACCUCCUCACAUGAGUGGCCAAUUAUGUUACGUACAAUCUGUGUAAUGUGUUAUGAUAAGGUUGUGAUCUUGAGUAAACAUGCUAGGAAACUAUUAAUAAAACAGAUAUACUCACAGCACAGUCAACAAAGGCCUCUGAAAUUUGACUUCCAUCAUCUAUGCACACAAGAAGCUCGUACUCUCUGCGAUUCCUAAAUUGAAAUCGUUUGACAGAGGUAAUCAAACCCUGUAGCAGUUAUGUCACCAAUCAACGUUUGCAUUUUGCACAAAUGACUGAAAGUAAAUAUACAUGUAAGAAAAUCUUCCAGCACUCUUGAACUCAUGGAAAAACAUUUUCAUCAAACAAGCAAUGUGAAAUGGACACAGUUCUAUGUAAAAGUUUGUAGACAAAAGGUUUGAAAGGAUAGCUAAAUCUGCAAGUAGAAAAUCCAAUCUGGAAAUGACAGAAAAUAAAUAUACAUGUAGGAAAAUCUACCGCCAGUCUUGAACUCGUUGAAAAGCAUUUUGAUCAAACAUGAAAUAUGAAAUGGACACAGUUCUAUGUAAAAAAAUGUAGACAAAAAGGCUGGAGGUCAAGGACAGCUAAAUCUGCAAAUAAAAGGUACUAAGUAGUAAAUGAACCUUAAUUUUUCCUUGAAUGUAGGGUCUUGUAUCCUUUUCUAUGGUCCAAUGUGCCAUCAAGUUGAAAAUGUAUAUGAAAGGUUUUUCAUUUUCACCACUUAGAAUGACUGGAUGUUCCAUCUGACCAGUAUUAUCAUCAACAGUUGAAGGCCGUGCAGCCUCCGCACCAUUGGCACCAGUUGCAUGAAUGUCAUGUGCCCUUUGUUGGGAAUCAUACCCACCACAAGGAGUAGAUGUAGAAGGCUCUCCUCUGCUCCUAGUAAAAGCAGUAGCUUGGUCCUGCAUGGUGAUUUCUUGGACACGUUGUAUUUGCUCGUCAACAUUGUUCGCCACAAUAGGAUGGUCAACAUAUUCAUCUACCAAAGUUCGUGCAAUUCUACUAGUGCUUUGUUGGGGUUCAUGUCUAUAGGUAGCAGGUGCAGAAGCCUCUGCGUUGUUCCCAGUAAGAGAAGUAGAUCGGUCCUGCAUAGUGUUUUCUUGGAAAUGUUGACGUUGUGCUCGGACACCAUUUACUACAACAGGAUGGUUAACACGCUCUUCUUCCAUUGUUUGUGUAGUUCUACCAACUUGAGAGCCAUUACCUGUGAAUUGAAUAACAAUGAAGCAUGAAUACAUCAUAUAAUAAAUGCUUGGAAGGUUAAGAUCUUAAACAAUGUAAACUGAAACACAGGGCAACUUGCUUGACAAAUCGACUUUCUUUGACACAGUAUUGAGCCACAAGAAUGACAGAAUUGCAGGAAAACAUUUUCGAUACAACAGGAGGACCUCUAAGAAAGUGUGGUAAGGCAACUGUGGUCAUGCACAAAAUAUUUGCAACAAGCAGUUAAGCAAUUAUAAGUAGGCCAUAGUGUCUGAAUAUAAUGGAGUUCUACAGCAGAUAGGGAGCAUAUUCAGUCACCUGUAUCGCCACUUGAGUAAAAGAAUAUACAGUCUCUUUCAGCAGCAUAGACUCACAGGUAGGAGUAAUUAAUUGCAGGUAAAUCGAUCACAAAAUCAAGGUGAUACUCCCUCCAUUCCAAAAUAUAGUGCGCCCGCGCUUCCCGAGGUUCAACUUUGACCAUAAAUUUAACCAACGAGACCAACUGCGGCAGGAGAAAAAAUUAUAUAAUUGAAAACUUCUUUCGAAUACAAAUUCACUGAUAUAAUUUUUGCUCCCGCCGCAAUCGGUCUUGGUAGUUAAAUUUACGGUCAAAGUUGAAACACGUGGAUAGAGGAAGCACUACAUUGUGGAAUGGAGGGAGUAAGUGAUAACACAAAAAAAUGUGUCUACUUACACAUUGCUGGCAAAGAAGAUAAUCAUCCAUAGUAAUUCAGUUGCCUCUCUAACAUCUACGACUCCAUCUAAUAAAAAUGAGUCUACUUAAACAUAGAAGUAUUACCUAAUCCUGUUGGAUGAGAGGGGUUUACUGUUCUUGCAAUUGAGAUGCCUUGCUCACCACCAUUUGCAGCGCUUACAUUACGUGGCCAGGCAGCUAGGGUGGCUCUGGAGGACAAAGGUAAUCCACCUUGUUUCCUGCAGCAUGAACACAUGAACAUACAUGUGGAAUCUAGAACAAUAAAUAUACCAAGAUAUGAACAAACAACUAGCAGCUUGUAAAGAAAUGUGACGAACAGAACACAUUGAAUAGCAAAACUGCAAGAACAGGGCAUGUGGCUGAUUGGAUAAGCAUUUAUUAUUCAGUUUACAAAAUUGGGAGUUAUAAUAGAAAGAUAUGUAAACAAAAUGAAAGAAAAUGAAGCUUGCUAAGUACUUAAUAUACAAAAAUGAUAUUGUGGCUGUGAGCUGCGACUCUUGCUGACCAAGAAGAGAUGCAGCCAAAGAUCCUCAGCUGAAGUGUUUGCAUUUUAAAUUAUCUAAUUCACCGGACACUUCCAUAAAUAACUGUCGAGUUCUUGCUUAAAAUACAAGGUGAAGCAAUAUACCUCGCAAUGAAAUGGCAUCUGCGUAGAUCUAAUGUGUUCACUGAUGGACAAGGACAGUACAUACCUUUUUCCACGAGGUGGUUUAUUUACUUCAGAAACAAGUCUGACACGUGCUGCUUCCAAUUCAUCAACUACCCCACCAAGAAUCUCAAUAACCUCAGGGACUAACAUAAGAAGCCCUCUCUUUAUGUGCACAUUCCUUAUAACAAUCUGAGAUAUGUAAAGAAAGUUACAAGCUGUUGGUACAAAUAUUAAGAUAGGGAAAAAUAUGUCUUAUAAUCUCAUGCUGCACACUCAUUGGCAUUUACCUGAUAUAUUGUUUGUAAUCAUAUAUCACUUAUAUAUAUGAUAUACCCGUACAUAAAGAGUGCGUCUGCCAUUUCGGUGUACAGGGUGUCUCAAGAAAAAAACGCUAUAUAAGAGGAUGCUAGUUAAAAAAUGCAGACAAUGGUAUGACCAAUGAGUUUCAGAGAAUGCCAGGUUUCUCAACUGAGUUCUGAGUUUUCUUCACUGCAAUCAAUCUUUGCCAGCACCAACCAACACUCCACACAUGGAGUAAGCACCAUACUUCUAUGUUUCCCAACAUUUACAAAUGGUAUCACAGAAGUAGAGAAAAAACUUACUGAAUGCAUGCGGAGUGCCUGGUCCUAUCUUUCACAUCUACUCCCUCCGUUCCUAAAUAUAAGUCCUUUUCCGUUCCUAAAUAUGUGUAGUCCGUAUUGAAAUCUCUAAAAGGACUUAUAUUUAGGAACAGAGGGAGUAUUUGAUUAAAAAUGUAGACAUUCAUGUUACAAUCCAGAUGUAAGUUCAAAUGUUUAAUAGCCCAUGAGAAGGUAAUUGCGUAGUACUCCACAUAUUAGUUAUUGCUGGGUGGAACAUUAAGGGUGAUGAAUGUAUUCAACUGCUACAAAAGUAAAUAUGUGAAUUGAUUUUAUAUGAAAAUUGCACAAAACAGUCAAAAUGGUACCGGAGCAUAGGCACCAUCAUAUUAGUUACUUCGAUUUCUAUCUUCAAUAUUAUCUCUUUCCUAUUUAAAUAAUAUUCUAACUUUAUCCUAUUACUGCCUGAUACUAUUGCCAUGAACACAAGUAUGUGAAGAGUAUAUUCCCAUGCCAAAUGCAUCCUAACACAAGUAAGCACGUUCUGUGGAAAUUCAUCAUUUUAGUAUAAGCUAAGAAAAGAACAUAAAAUCGUAAGGCAAGACAAACUUCUCAGAAAAAUGAGCAGAUCAAAUUUUGAAAGAUGACCUUAAAACCAGCAGGAGCAAGAACUUCCAGGUCUUUGAUAGGCCUGUAUUCGAUUCCAUAUAUGCGUUGGAUGCCAUCUGUCAUUGAUAACUUUAAACAUCGUUUGGGGCCGGCAUGUGCAUCACGAUAUCUUUCCCUUAAAGGGGCAGACAUAUUGGCAAUUUCAUCAACCUAAGAAACACAGAGCUGGUUAGAUGGUUACAUUCAUGAAACGGUCCUGAAUCUGCACAUGACAAAUCUACACCUUUAUAAUUUGGACCAACCAUAUAAGCAAUGCAAUCUUUCUCUUCUACCGACUAGCAUGGGCCCUUAAGUUAAGGUCAAUCUGGUACUGACUCAACUUUGAUUAUAUAAAUGUGAAUAAUAUCACAUUACAAAGAAAGAAGGAAAGAGAUCAUCAGUCCUACUACAGUACUACCUUGAAGAUGCAUGCGAUUGGGUUAAGUUAAAAGGACCCCGUGAUGCUUAGGAUUGUUUUCCUGACACACUGGUGACCGAGAACUAAACAGAUAACUUAGAUGAACCAAAAUGCAUAACCUGCACUUUACUAGUACAGCAAUCUCAACAAUAUUAACCAUUCUAUGCGGCCAGCAAUCACCUUCAUGUGUCAAAGAACGAUACUCCAAAGUUCUGACUAAGGAAUUGCGCCUUUGUGACGCGGUCACUAAGUUGAAGUAAAGCAAGUAAACUAAAGGUUUAGGUUCCAACAUAAACGUCUUAUUUCAGAUGGAUCUCAAAUUAGAAGCUCAGAUAUGGAGGCAAAUUGCAGACAUUGCCAUCACCAACCUGAAGUAUCCACCAGAGCAAAACCAUGCUAUAUACAUUGCAUAACUAUGCUGCACCAGGGGGGGCACCAAAGCAGUACUGAUAUCCACAACUCGAAAAGAAAAUCAUAACCAAUCAUCCAAUAGUGAAUUAUAAGGGGACUACAACCUGUAGCACAAAUGGUCCAUCGAGGAUGGCGGACUCCAUAGACCCGACGCCCUCCGGAAGCACACCAGCGCCGCAUUCGUUCAUGUCGGCAAAGAGGAGCUGCUCAAAACACUGUCUAGCCUGCACUUCAGUGCCGCCAUGGCCGUUGAACCCAGGCAACCCGGCAGCACACUGUUGAAGCCACUCUGGCCGUACACGAAGCCCGAGUCGCCGCAGGAACGCAUCCACCGGACGCAGCUGCGCACUCAGUGCGGACGAUGGGGUCGAGGACGUGAGCGGGGUCGCAGUUGGGGUCCAGGCAGAGGGAGGGGUUGGAGCUGGGGUUCGAGGCCGAGGAGCAGGCGCGGCAGCAGGUGGUGGGGUUGGCGUUGGGGUUCGGGCAGGAGGAGCUGAUGCGGCAGCCGGCGGUGGAGUUGGGGUUAGGGUUCGGGACAUAGGAGUGGGUGCGGCAACGGGCGGUGGAGUUGGGGUUGGGGUACGGGCAGUAGUGGGUGCGGCAGCCGGCGAUGGGAUUGGAGUUCGGGUUCGGGCCGGAGCAGGUGCGGCGGCCGGCGGUGGGACUGGGGUUCGUGUUCCGGACGGAGGAGUGGAUGCGGGAGGCGGGGUUGGUGUUGGGGUUCGGAACGAAGGAACGGCGGGAGCAGGAGCAGGAGCGGGAGGUGGACAUGAAGUUUGGGGCGGAGGAUAUUGAGGUGGAGCGGGAGGUGGUGGGGAGAGGUCAUCGGCGACGUCGGUGAACAGGGAGUCCCCGUCAGAGUCCCGCAUCUCGUCGGGGGCGUCGCCGAACGCGGGAUCCUCGUCGGGGUCCUGGAUCUCAUCGACCUCCUCCUCGUCAUCGGAGAUCUCGACGGGAGGGGAGGGGGGAGGCGAGGACGGUAAUGUGUAGGGUGCUAGGAAGGGGCUGGGGUUUUGAGACGAGGGGCGGCCGACGCUUCCGCCGCCGCCGGUGGAAACGGAGGUGGAGGCGGAGGCAGGAGUGGCCGCGGCAUCUUCCUCGUCAGAGUCGGUGAUGAUUAGGCUGCGGCGCCCCAUUCUCGAAGAAAUUUUGGGGGCGGUUUGGUCGGAGGAAGGGAGCGGGGGAGAGGGUUUUGGGGGCGGUUUCCCUGGAGAAAUUUUGGAGGCGGGUUGCGGGCUUCCAGCGCGGGAGGAUCUGCAAAAGCUUUGUUUGGACGUCGACGCUGUCGGGGCGGCUGUUUCGUCCAGGUCCCUUGGACUGGAGGUCUAAGGAGGGAACGAACUGAUGCGUGGCGCAGAGAAUGUGCUAGAUGGGGUGAGAACCCGCGGUGCGUCACUCCGGCGCCGGCGUCCAGCUCCCCGCCGUACGUCACUCCGGCCGCGGCGACUACCCCGAAUCCGGUCUUUUCGCCGGCGCGCCACUCCACCCCCGUCCCAUCCGCUCCCCGCCUCCCCUCGUUAGCGGUGCGCGCCAUGACGGAGAGUCUGCGUUCAAUGCCCUCGUCCUUCCAUGGGGAGCGACCGGUUGUCUUCGGGCUGGGCAUCUCGUCGGCUUCCGAGAGUUCUGCGGCGGAGCAGGUGCAGGCGGUGCCGGUUGUGGUGGGCGCGGUGGCGAGUUCGACCAGGCGGAUCUCGCAAUGGCAAGAGGCCCCUGCUUCCAAGAAGUCCCUGUGGCGGCGGCGGCGCGAUGGGGAACGGCCCGCGCCUGUCUUGCGCCGCUCGUCGCCGUCCCGUAAGGAAGUUUUGCCGGAGAUGUGUGACAAGUGCUUUCGGUGCCUCACGAAAGGUCACUUCUUGAAGGACUACACCAAUGAGGUCGUUUGUCUUCGGUGUGGGCUGUCGGGGCACGUCGCGGCGCAGUGCAAGAGAUCGCGCAGUCCUUUUCCGGUCGAGGAGCUCAGGAGGGAGGCUGCGGUCAAGGUCGCUGUCGGUAUCAAAAUCGGUGGAUCUCGGGUAGGGGGUCCCGAACUGUGCGUCUAAGGCGGAUGGUAACAGAAAGCAGGGGACACGAUGUUUUACCCAGGUUCGGACCCUCUUGAUGGAGGUAAUACCCUACGUCCUGCUUGAUUGUUCUUGAUAAUAUGAGUAUUACAAGAGUUGAUCUACCACGAGAUCGUAGAGGCUAAACCCUAGAAGUUAGCCUAUGGUAUGAUUGUAUGUUGUCCUACGGACUAAAUCAUCCGGUUUAUAUAGACACCGAAGGGGGCUAGGGUUACACAAGGUCGGUUACAAGGGAGGAGAUCUACAUAUCCGUAUUGCCUAGCUUGCCUUCCACGCCAAGGAGAGUCUCAUCCGGAUACAGGACGAAAUCUUUAAUCUUGUAUCUUCAUAGUCCAACAGUCCGGCCAAAGGAUAUAGUCAGGCUGUCCGGAAACCCCCUAAUCCAGGACUCCCUCAGUAGCCCCUAAACCAGGUUUCAAUGACGACGAGUCCGGCGCGCAGUAUUGUUUUCGGCAUUGCAAGGCGGGUUCUUCUCCAAAUACUUCAUGGAAGAUUUUUGAACACAAAGAUAGUGUCCGGUUUUGCAAAACAAGUUCCACACCCCACCGUAAAGAGAAUAAUAUUUCCAUAAAUCUAUUUUGUUGACACGUUUUGGUAGCACAACAUCACGUCAUGGCCCGGUCCUUAUCUGAACCGUUUUUCUCAACCAGCACUGCGCAUAUUGCGAGAUGGUUUUUCUGUCACGUCUUGUCAAAGCAGAGAUCGUGUCCCCCUUAUUACAGAAUUCUCAUCAAUACGGACAUGGGUAACCCAUCCGCGCCAUCAAUUACGGCGCCUGGGGAAUAAGCGGUUUUACCAGGCAAGUGGGGAGACGCAUCGCCUCUUCCGCCCUUAUAAAGGGACAAGGAUUUACUCUUUUCACCCACGCCUUCUUCCUCCUUGCUUACCCAUUCCCGCACACUCAAGCUCUAGCGCACAAGCUCACAUUCUUCUUCUCAAACCACUUCAAGCAUGUCCGGAGCAGGAGGCAAGUGGAUGGUCUCAUUCGUCGCGGAGGAGAACAUCAAAAAGUUACGGGAAGCCAAAUAUUUGGCCGCGAAUAUCGCGCAUCGGUUGCCAGAUGCGGGGCAGAUCAUCCCAACGCCCGAACCCCAUGAGAGGGUAGUUUUUCUUACUCAUUUUGUCCACGGGCUGGGAUUUCCCCUCCACCCGUUUGUCCGCGGGCUCAUGUUCUACUACGGGCUGGAUUUUCAUAAUCUGGCCCCCAAUUUCAUCCUCAACGUCUCGACGUUUAUCGUCGUGUGCGAGGCCUUCCUCCGUAUCAAGCCCCAUUUCGGCCUGUGGCUGAGGACUUUCAAUGUCAAACCAAAGGUGGUGGUCGGACAGCAAGCGAAGUGCGGAGGCGCCAUGGUGGGCAAGAUGCCUAAUGUCACCUGGUGUCGGUGUCAAAACCGGCGGAUCUCAAGUAGGGGGUCCCGAACUGUGCGUCUAAGGCGGAUGGUAACAUGAGGUAGGGAACAUGAUGUUUUACCCAGGUUCGGGCCCUCUUGAUGGAGGUAAGACCCUACGUCCUGCUUGAUUUAUUCUUGAUGAUAUGAGUAUUACAAGAGUUGAUCUACCACGAGAUCCGAGAGGCUAAACCCUAGAAGCUAGCCUAUGGUGUGAUUGUUUAUUGUCCUACGGACUAAAACCCUCCGGUUUAUAUAGACACCAGAGGGGGCUAGGGUUACACAAGGUCGGUUACAAAGGAGGAGAUAUACACAUCCGUAUUGCCUGGCUUGCCUUCCACGCCAAGUAGAGUCCCAUCCGGACACGAGACGAAGUCUUCAAUCUUGUAUCUUCAUAGUCCAACAGUCUGGCCAAAGGAUAUAAUCCGGCUGUCCGGAUACCCCCUAAUCCAGGACUCCCUCAGUAGCCCCGAACCAGGCUUCAAUGACGAUGAGUCCGGCGCGCAUUAUUGUCUUCGGCAUUGCAAGGCGGGUUCUUCUUCAUCUUUCGAACGUUUGGAAAGCAGUGUCCGGUCCCAUAAAUGUUUUGGACCUCUUGGCUUAUGUGCCCAAUAAGGGCUUUCUCCCACGCGUCGAAUGAAUACGAGGCGCCAGGGCGUUUUUACAUUCGCCCCCUAGCCAGAUAAAUAAAUUGUCUAUUAAAGGGAUGGGGAUCCUUAGAUCCGAUCCAUACCAUCCUCCUCCAGCGAGAGUCCAUCAGAGCGCAUUCCGGAAAGAUCCAUUCCAGCAUGGCCGACCUCCGCAGCUUCUCCUCCCACCCCGAAGCCCUAAGCCCGGUGAUUGGGAGAGGUGUUCAGUCCCGCACAGUCAUUUAGUCGAACUGCAGACUAAGGGAUUUCUCCCUCCGGCGUACAUGGUGCCCGUUCGAGCCGGGCUUGCCACCUAUAAUGGCGGGGAGCAAGUGGAGGGCUUUCCCUGUCCCUCUAUGGGGGAACGGGUCUGCCUUGUUCCCUAUUUAUUAAGGGGACUCGGAUUUCCAAUUCAUCCGUUCCUCCGCGGGCUCCUGGAGUUCUACGGCCUCCAAUUACACAAUUUCAUCCCCGCCUCCAUCCUACAUAUCGCCGGCUAUGUGGCUCUCUGCGAGUUGUUCCUGGGCUGCGAGGCUCACUUCGAGCUGUGGAAAAGGCUAUUUUGCCUCGUCCCUUGCACACAGAGGGGGUCACUUUAUCAAGUGGGCGGAGCCGAAAUAUGGCGCAUCGCCGAUACCGGAUACCUGUCCGGUACUCCGAAGAAGUCACCCGAAGACUGGCCUUCAGAAUGGUUUUAUAUGGAGGACGUUCCCCUUCUAGACCCUAUUCGGCGGGGUCUUCCUGAGUUCAACAAUGCUCCUCUGAAGAAACGCCGAAGUUGGCGCCCAUGGAGCCCCCAAGUGGAAGACAAUGGAGAAGUCCUCUAUCUGAUAAACCGAAUUAAAGCACUGGCUCGAUCAGGAUUGACAGUAAUCGAAGUUAUGUCGAUUUGCAUAAUGCGAGGAGUGCAACCACUUCAAUAUCAUGGGCACCCCUUGUGGUGUUAUAACGGGGCGGAUGACGCCACCCGCUGCGGGCGUAAGGGUCCGGACAAUGCUGCCGCUUUGGCGAAAAUUCUGUCCGAAAUGUUCAAGGGUGAGGAAGAGGAGUUCACCCGCAUCAAGCCACGGGAUGGAUUCUCCAUGUACAAUCCUCCAAGCUGGGUAAGUUAUAUCUCCCUACUCCCAUUUUUCCCGCAUUCUUUGUCGUAAGUAUUCACCUUGCCACUUUGCGGCAGGAACUGCGAAGAGCCAUAAAGGAGGUCAGCAGCUCUUCUCCACAACCAGAGGACCCUGACCGGGCCCUCGACUCCGGACUUGAAGAAGAUUCGGUUAUAUUCGUGGAGCUGAUAGACCGACAGUUCUAUCAGUUAAGUUGCGACGAUGCCAUGGUGGCCAUUACGGCCGACUAUCCUGGACUGCUCCCUGCAUCGCACGUAAGAAAACUCAAAAAUCCCAACUCCAAAACUAGGAUCCCCUUUUAGACACUUCACCCACCAUAUACACAUGGCAUUUUUACAGGGAAGGCAUUCGGGACGCCCUGCCGAACCCGCAACAACGCGCCAAUAGGAGGCACCAAGGCCGGGUAGGCCAAAAAGGAAGGCGGUCAGGACGGAGACGCCGGCGCAAAGGUAUAACAAACCCCGCUCUGUGGUUGUCGUCUUUCUCGAAAUAUAAUGACGCCCGUGUUUCUUUAACAGAAAAAACGCUCGCCGGAAUAUGUCCGGCGAUGUUACUAAUCACGCUUCCACCAGCCGGGCGCCAGGACCGGACAUAGAGGCGGAAGCGAAUAUGGGGCGGGCGCCGAAUAAUCCCCCUACAGAGGAUGCAGAUAGAUUAUCCGCUACAAACUCAAAGGUGGAAAGCGCCAUGAAUCAUAGGCGCCGCCGGGCCGUACUCCGUGACGCUUGUUUCUCACCAGAGGCAUUUGAUGCCUUCAAUUCUGGAGAGGCGUACCUCCGAGCUGCUCAAGAUGGUCUAGCCAGAGCCACAGAUCAGUAUGUAAAGGAUGUACGGGUAAGUAAAUUUGACGAUUUAUAUGUAUCAGUAGCCCCUGAGACUUGAAACAGUUAGCAGAACUGAUUUAAGGAUCAUCUUUAUUGCGCGGGUUCUUACAGAGAAGAAUACUAGGCUGUCACAGGAGCUAGAGGAAUGCAAGACCCAACUGCGGGCUGCUGUGGCCGCAUUGCAGGAACCGAAAAAGUCACCUGCUAGUAACAUUUACUUUAAAGAAUGAUGGUUACCAUAUAAUGUGCGGCAUGGCUGCAGAUCUAACAACAGAUGUUGCAGAUGAAUCCGGAGAAAAUCGAGAGGACCAGCAUGUUAUGCGACAGCUAGAGGCUGGCAAAUGCGUGCUGACUGAGGUUAGGCGGGAGAAAAACAAUCUCCAAGACGCCAAUAUUAAGCUGAGCGUGGAACUAAAAGACGUUCGGGGCCAGCUUGCAGACUCCGAGAAGGAGAAUAAGCGGCUUUGGCGCGGCAUUUUCAGUAAGUGCUUGAACGAAUCCUUUUAAAGGAGUUCGGCGAAGAAGCUGACUAACAGUGUUAUGUCUGUAGGUAUGCUGACGGGUCGUCCCGCGGAGGAAAUGCCCGGGUCCGCGGGAUCUUCUAUCCGAGCUGUCACAUCUGCACGAACAAGUUUGGCAGGUGAUGCAGGGUGUUGCCCAGGCCUUGUGGCCAUCCGUCUCCCUGCCAGAGGGCGUUGCAGAGCUUGCGGAGAAGCUCAAGGGAGCACGGCGGCGCUUCCGAUUAUGGAAGAUAUCAGCCUGCCGACAGGGUGCCAGAGAAGCCUGGGCCAUGGUGAAGACACGAUAUACCAAGGCCGACCCAAAUCACAUGGCCGAGGUCGGACCUAUGGGGCCCGGCCGAAAAGAGAUCCCCGUUAGCUUAGUUUAUGGGCAAGUAGAAUUAGCCGCAAAGUAUUCCCAACAGGAUUGUAAGCUAGACCGCCUGUUGGAUGGUAUAGAAGAGGAAUUUAGUCAGUCUGCAUGACUAUGUAAUGGAAGUGACAUGUAUAAUGCCUUCUAGCCGGAUUGUAGAUCAUUUGUCUUGGCGGACCUUUUCGCUUCAACCUCGGGACUCGAUAGUCCGGAGUGUAUCCGAAUACCCGCGCAGUUAUAUAAGAACCGGGGCAUGUGUGGAGACCAGGCGUAGGGGUCAUAAGUGCUUGAACAGACAAGUGCCCAACUAGUUAUGUUAUAUUACAUGGGUAGUAAGAAACAUCUCCCAGGGAGAAUAGUUUCGUUAAGGGUUCCUUUCCCUGGGUAAGCAUGCCCUAAAGUGCAUGUCCGGACUAUGAUAGGAAACGCAGGAAAAACAUCUGGGGGCAGAUAUGGACAAUAAAUAAAAAUCAUCUUUUGUUCACCGACCGAAUAUUCCCUUAAGAACGCUAGCUUUUGGCUUCACCCAGUCUGAGGUACACAUCCGGCUGACCCGGCAGUAACAAUCGCAGAGGUGCUCCCAUUAUGCCCUAGCUGAAUUAACGGGAACGUAGGGCAUAAAUACAAGAGCCAGGCAACCCAGCUUGGCCAAAACUUAAGUCAUAUCGAUGCAUAUAAUGGCGAAAAAGGUACAUGCGGAAGCAUGAAACAUGUUCGGGGCCUGAGGCCCAGAUAAAUAAUUAAGCUUCUGAGAAAGAAGCCCUAGGUAUUAUGAGCGCGGCUAGCGCAUCUAUAAUGUGCAAGAGAGGCACAAGUUGGCCCUCAAAGGCCUACAGAAAUAAUAACAGAAAGGAAGAAAGAAAAACAAGACAGAUAAUGUACAUGCAAAAAAUGGACAAAGGGAGGGGACGGACAUAGGGUUCGGCACUAGGCAUAGAAUCUUUGGAGCCUGGCCGCAUUCCAUGGGUUCGGCUCGAGUGGACUAGUCGAUGCAUCCCGCAGUCGGUACGCUCCACCGGUCUGGUCAAUAAUGAAGGGACCUUCCCAUUUGGGCUCGAGCUUGUUCUUUUUCUUAUCCGGCAGGCGUAGAACUAGUUCGCCAAUGUUAUAAGUUUUGGCCCGUACUUCUUUGCUUUGGUAUCUGCGAGCCUGUUGCUGAUAAAAUGCAGAACGGGCUUUGGCUACGUCGCGCUCCUCCUCCAGGGUGUCCAAACUGUCCUGCCAAUCGAGCUGGGCUUCUCUUUCUUCAUACAUGCGCACUCGAGGUGAGUCAUGAAUUAUGUCACAGGGCAAGACCGCCUCUGCGCUGUACACCAUAAAGAAGAGUGUGUAUCCGGUACUACGAUUCGGCAUGGUCCGCAGCCCCUAGAGUACAGAGUUGAGCUCCUCUACCCAGUGCGUGUUAGACUCCGUUAAGGAACGCACUAAUCUGGGUUUAAUGCUGCUCAUUAUAAGACCGUUUGCUCGCUCGACUUGGCCGUUGGUUUGUGGAUGAUAGACUGAAGCAUAAUCGAGCUUGAUGCCCAUUUUGCUGCACCAGAGUUUUACCUCAUCGGCUGUGAAGUUUGUGCCAUUGUCAGUGAUGAUGUUAUGGGGGACGCCAUAACGGUGUACGACCCCAGAUAUGAAGUCUAUCACUGGUCCGGAUUCGGCUGUUUUAACGGGCUUGGCCUCUAUCCAUUUGGUGAAUUUAUCCACCAUGACCAGUAAGUAUUUUUCCUUGUGGGUUCCCCCUUUAAGGGGUCCAACCAUGUCAAGCCCCCAGACCGCGAAGGGCCACAUAAUGGGGAUUGUUUGAAGGGCGGUGGGUGGCAUGUGGCUUUGAUUUGCAAAGAGCUGGCAACCGGCGCAACGUUGGACCAAGUCCUGUGCAUCUGCCCGGGCCGUUGGCCAAUAUAAUCCUGUACGGAAGGCCUUACUUAUAAGAGCCCGGGCUGCGGCGUGGUGACCGCCGAGUCCGGUGUGGAUUUCUGCUAAAAGGAUUCGCCCUUCCUCUUCGGAGAUGCAUCUUUGAAGGACUCCGGUAGUGCUUUUUUUAUACAAUUCUCCCUCGUGGACCAUGUAGGCCUUAGAUUGCCGCACUAUGCAGCAUGCCUCAUUUUGGUCCUCCGGAAGUUCCUGCCUAGUUAGGUAGGCCAGGAAUGGUUCUGUCCACGGGGCUAUAAUGGCCAUUAUUACGUGGGCUGGAGGUGUGAUUUCGGUGGCGGGGCCUCCGAUUGUGUCAGAGUAUUCGGUAUCGGGCAUUUUGGCCGGGUCCGGACUAUGGUUACCGGUGUCUCCUUCCCAUACUAAGGAUGGCUUGAACAACCUUUCCAGAAAGAUGUUGGGAGGGACCGCAUCGCGUUUUGCGCCGAUGCGAGCAAGGAUAUCCGCCGCCUGAUUGUUUUCCCGAGCCACAUGGUGAAAUUCGAGCCCCUCGAACCGAGCUGACAUUUUUAGGACGGCAUUUCGAUAGGCCGCCAUUUUCGGAUCCUUGGCGUCAAAGUCUCCAUUUAUUUGGGAUAUUGCAAGGUUUGAAUCCCCACGCACCUCCAGGCGUUGAAUGCCCAUGGAGACUGCCAUCCGAAGACCAUGCAACAGGGCUUCGUAUUCGGCUGCGUUGUUAGAGUCUGUGUACAAUAUUUGCAGUACGUAUUGAACGGUAUCUCCGGUUGGGGACGUCAGGAUGACGCCAGCCCCUAGACCAGCCAGCAUUUUAGAACCGUCGAAGUGCAUGGUCCAAUUGGAGUAUGCGCCGUACUCUUUAGGGAGUUCGGCCUCCGUCCAUUCGGCAACAAAGUCGGCCAAUACUUGCGACUUAAUGGCUCGUCGAGGUUUGUAUGUUAUGUCGAACGGGAGGAGCUCAAUAUCCCAUUUGGCAAUCCGGCCCGUAGCAUCGCGGUUGUUUAUAAUAUCAUUAAGUGGCACUUCCAAGGCUACUGUAAUCGAACACUCUUGAAAGUAGUGUCGCAGCUUCCGGGAAGCCAUGAAUACCGUGUAGGCUAUCUUUUGAUAAUGUGGGUACCGUGAUUUGCAUGGAGUGAGGAUAGUGGAUACAUAGUGUACCGGCUUUUGAAGAGGGAAUUUAUGUCCGUCAGCUUCUUGUUCGACGACGAGCAUUGCGCUUACAACUUGAUGGGUUGCCGCAAUGUACAACAGCAUUGGUUCGCCGAUGUUUGGCGCGGCCAGGAUUGGGUUGGUUGCCAAAAUGGCCUUUAUUUCUUCCAAUCCGGCUGUGGCAGCGUCCGUCCACUCAAAGUGUUCGGUGCGCCGGAGGAGGCGAUAAAGGGGUAAAGCCUUUUCUCCUAAGCGGGAGAUAAAGCGGCUUAGAGCCGCCACACAUCCUGUUAACUUUUGGAUUUGUUUGAGGUCUGUUGGGGUAGCCAACUGUGACAAAGCUCGGAUUUUGGCCGGGUUAGCUUCAAUACCUCUACUGGAGACAAUGAAACCCAAGAGUUUUAAGGCUGGUACGCCGAAAACGCAUUUUUUCGGAUUGAGCUUAAUGUCGUAUGUUCGGAGGUUGUCGAAUGUGAGCCUCAAGUCGUCUAUCAAAGAGUCGACGUGUUUGGUUUUGACGACCAUAUCGUCUACGUAUGCCUCUACUAUUUUGCCGAUUUGUUUCUCCAGACAUGUCUGAAUCAUGCGUUGAUAUGUUGCGCCGGCGUUUUUGAGCCCAAAAGGCAUUGUGCUGAAACAGAAGGGACCAUAUGGUGUGAUGAAUGCCGUUGCGGCUUGGUCGGACUCCGCCAUUUUGAUUUGGUGGUAACCGAGUAUGCGUCGAGGAAACACAAUGACUCGUGUCUUGCGGUAUCAUCGAUAAUUUGGUCGAUGCGGGGGAGGGGGAAGGGAUCCUUUGGGCAAGCUUUAUUGAGGUCCUUGAAAUCGACACAAAGGUGCCAGGAUUUAUCCUUCUUUGGUACCAUCACCAGGUUUGCUAGCCAGUCCGGGUGUUUUAUCUCUCUGAUGAAUCCGGCCUCCAAUAACUUGGAUAGUUCCUCUCCCAUGGCCUGUCUCUUAGGUUCGGAGAAACGCCGAAGAGCUUGCUUGACCGGCUUGAAUCCCUUUAUGAUAUUGAGGCUAUGCUCGGCCAGCCUGCGUGGGAUUCCUGGCAUGUCUGAGGGUUGCCAGGCGAAUAUGUCCCAAUUCUCCCGCAGGAACUCUCGUAGUGCGGCGUCCACGGCGGGUUUUAUCUAUGCCCCGAUGGAGGCUGUUUUUGUAGGGUCCCUUGGGUGGACUUGGAAUUUGACUAUUUCAUCCGCUGGUUUAAAAGAGGUGGACUUGGAUCUCUUAUCGAGUAUCACGUCAUCCAUGUCCACUGUGGAGCGUAGCGUGGUUAGCUCCUCGGCCGAGAGGGCUUCGGAUAAUGCCUCGAGGGCCAGUGCGGCUGUUUUGUUUUCAGCUCGGAGUGAUGUGUCCGGAUCACUAGCGAGGGUGAUGAUUUCGUUGGGCCCGGGCAUUUUGAGCUUCAUGUACCCGUAAUGGGGUACGGCUUGGAAGAUCGUGAACGCCUCACGUCCUAAAAGGGCGUGGUAUCCACUGCUGAACGGGGCCACUUGAAAUGUAAUUUCUUCGGACCUGUAAUUCUCUGGCGUACCGAAUACCACAUCUAGUGUGAUUUUCCCAGCGCAUCGUGCCUCCCGACUGGGUAUGAUUCCCCUAAAGGUUGUGCUACUUUGCUUAAUGCGGUUCCAGUCUAUUUCCAUUUUUUGAAGAGUUUCCUCAUAGAUGAGGUUUAAUCCGCUGCCGUCAUCCAUGAGUACUUUGGUGAGUCGAAAGCCGUCCACAAUUGGACUAAGGACCAGUGCAGUUGGUGCUCGGGCUGUUCGGAAUUUAGGUUUGUCACUGGCAUUGAAGGUAAUAGCCAUGUCACUCCAUGGAUUUAUUGCUGCUACGUGGCAGAUUUCGGCCAUGCUGCGGAGUGUUCGCUUGCGCCUAUUAUGUGACGCAAAGGUCUCAAAGACUGUUAACACCGUUUUAUUAUCCACGGGAUGGUGCUCUGUGGCAUUUGGGAUAAGAAGAUCCUCACCACUUUUGGCCACCUGCCGGAGUAUCCAACAUGCUCUAAGGCUGUGUGUUGGUAUUUUAUCCGUUGUACUGUGAAUUUUGCAGGGUUCGUUAAGCCAUCCCUCCAGUACGGUUCCAUGCCCUGUAGAGGGUUUUUGUUUCUUUGCAACUAGCUCGGGCGUCUUAUGAUAGUGCACCCUUUUACUUCGGACUGGGUGUAUAUUCAGAGCCAGAUUAUCCCAAAAUUUCGUUUCGGUUUUCCAAGCGCUUUCCAUCACACAGUACUUUCGUACUAUUGAUGCCAAGUCCGCGAAGCGUGAUAUGUCACGUCGACUUAAGGCAUUAAGGAUUCCCUUGUCCGUGCAAUUAUUGCAGAAAAGUGAGACUUCAUCUUCCUCGCGACAGUCCUUAACCUUGUUCAUCACAAGGAGGAAUCUGGCCCAAUAAUGAUGUAUUGUUUCAUGGGGCUCUUGCCUAAUGUGUGAAAGAUCAUUUAUGUCUGGGGGGGUGGGUGGAUUUGAGUCCGAAUCCCUACCCGAUCUGAGACCCAGGGGCCGAGGAGUUUCCAAUCUUGGAAGUUCGGGUUCCGGAGUGUUACCUGAUAAAUUUGGCCCGCUGCCUGAUUCUAGGUUCAGGGCUUGGGUAAUGUCCUCCCGUAAGCGGGUAUCCGGCUCGGAGAGCUCAGGAAUCCGGACAUAGUUAGUCCUCAAAAUAGAGGAAGAGUUGCCGCAUUGUUCCUCCACCACCGCAACAUGAUGGGUGACCAGUGGAGAGUUAAUCUCCCUUUGAUCGGGUUUAAGCCCAAUCCGAUCAUAGUUCGUAGCGACUCCCAAGGCGGCGAUGCGAUCCAAGAGUUCAUUUAGGGAAGAGAGCUCCAUUGGAUCCAUCUGCUCGGCAACUUCCGAGCCGACGUGGAUGCUGUUUUUGAUGACCCGAGAAGUCAUUGUCGGUGCAGCAGCUGAACAGGCAGUCAUGAUGAAACUGCCUAGCCGGAGAUUUUGUCCGACAGCCAGAGCUCACCCGGCGGUGAUGUUUCUUAUAACAACGAGACGAGUCAUCCUUCCUUACGGCGACGCCACAGAGGAACUCUCAAUGAAAGCACCAAUGUUGGUGUCAAAACCGGCGGAUCUCGGGUAGGGGGUCCCGAACUGUGCGUCUAAGGCGGAUGGUAACAGGAGGCAGGGAACAUGAUGUUUUACCCAGGUUCGGGCCCUCUUGAUGGAGGUAAGACCCUACAUCCUGCUUGAUUUAUUCUUGAUGAUAUGAGUAUUACAAGAGUUGAUCUACCACGGGAUCGGAGAGGCUAAACCCUAGAAGCUAGCCUAUGGUAUGAUUGUCUAUUGUCCUACGGACUAAAACCCUCCGGUUUAUAUAGACACCAAAGGGGGCUAGGGUUACACAAGGUCGGUUACAAAGGAGGAGAUAUACACAUCCGUAUUGCCUAGCUUGCCUUCCACACCAAGUAGAGUCCCAUCCGGACACGAGACGAAGUCUUCAAUCUUGUAUCUUCAUAGUCCAACAAUCCGGCCAAAGGAUAUAAUCCGGCUGUCCGGAUACCCCCUAAUCCAGGACUCCCUCACCUGGCUUGAAGGCUCCUAUGUGGAGACCAUAAAGGGGUGGCAAUCGGGGUGGUUCUACAUCACCGAGCCGUGCGACACCAACUGGGUGGCGGUCCCCGAAUUCCGAUCCGGAAUCCCCACACGGCUCACCUCCUGGAAAGAGAAGGGCCUGUCCUGGGGUUCCUCGGUAGAGCUGACCGGACUCCAGACCUACAUCAAGAACAUGAUGAGCAAGAAAAUUAAGCUCGUCAACGUGGUUCAGGUCAUGCUCUUCCGCUGGAUUCUUCCGUGUCAACAACGGGCAUUCAACUUGUGGGAGUUCGACCCAGCCAAGCACCAGACGCUGAGAGAGCUCUAUGGCACAAUGCACGAGGACGUCCGGAAGGUGCUGUUUAAGGGCGCCGAGGUACCUCCUUUCCUCACCGAGGAUCGCGGACUCAGCGCAAAGCGCCGCGCCAAUCUGGUAAGUUUUUAUAUUUCACAGGGUAUCUAUUUUCCCCAGUUUAAUCAUGUGCGGGAUCUAAGCUUCCAUGCCUUUAAUAGGACUGGGUGAAGAUAGCGGAGCAGAUCGAUUGCCCCGCCCCACUGCUGGAAGAUCCUGCCGAUGCUCUCCUGACGGAGAUGCUGGUUCCGGCACCUUACGAGGUGCCGGUGAAGAAGGCCAAGAAGAAGGCUGCGGGGACCCAAAAGGGUCUUUGGCGCAAGGUUGUAUCGGACUCAUCGUCCGAUAACUCCGACGCACCCUCCUCCCACGAAAACGAGGAGGAGGAAGAGGAAAGUUUCCCCCCUAGCUGGGGGAGACAAGAAAAGGAAGGCCGAUCCAACCAGAGAGGUCGAAGGGUCCAAGAAGGGCAGGACCCUCCCUCCGGACUGCUCCACGACGGCCGCCUACAGCGGCGACGAGUGGCUACCCAGGGUCAAGCCCCUGGCAAAGUCGUAAGUAUACGGACACCAUAGUAAUUCAUGGUAUGUUUUACUGCACUGCUUCUCCUCAUGCCGAACAUGAUUAUGCAGUCUGUCCCGAGCUCAUCUCGACGUAUCUUCGUCGAGCGGUUCGUUGGACUCGUCGGAUAUGAACAACGGUUCUCUUCCGACCGCCUCCACCCCUCGCCCUACGGACAACGCCGAGGUGUUGUCUUAAAAGGCACCAAGCCAAGGGGAGGUGGUCCUGGAGGUGUCUCGAGGCGACCUCCCAGACCCUGGGUACCAAGGGAGCGAGGCUCCUACGGGCUCCGAGUUCGACCCCCAGCCGAACACUGUGCCGGAACCUUCGAUGGUUCCGGACUCCGGCAGGCGGUCCCCUAUUAAGGGGGGCCAACCACCCGUGCCGGUGUCCUCUUUCCAUCCAGAGGCAUCGGACAACUUGCUGGAAGUGCUUCGCAGCGCUUCCAUCGACGAAGAGCACCGCACUAUCAUGAGUGCGAUGAUCGAGAAGGUUCAGUCCGCCAAAAACGGGCUGACCGAAGCUUGCGCCAGCCUCCUAGCAGGCUUUGAGGUAAGCAAUCAAAGUAUAUAUAAGAAAAUAUUACCGCAUAGAUAGUAGCCCCUGAUGCUCUGUUCGGUGUUUGAGAAGAAAGGCCGAAUAGAGGAUCAAAUGAUGAGUCAGGAGUCUACUAAGAUUAUGUCUAUAUGUAAGUGCAGGCUUCCCUGCUGGCUACUGCCGCAUGUACUGCGGAGGUCUCUGCACUGAAGCAGGACCUGGAGCGGCCCGAGAACGAGCUUGGCCUUAUCAAGAGGCAGCUUGAGGAGAGCAAAGGUAAGCAAUACCUUGUCUACGCUCUUGAAAAGAAGUUCGUUUGUAAAAUAAUAGGAUCACCAUGAAUUUGCCAGGGGCCGCGACCGAGGUGGCGACCCUGAAGAAGGCGCUGUCCGAGGCCGAAGACAAAGCGGCCAAGGAACGCAUCGAGCGGGAGAAGCAAGAAGACCGAGUGGGCGAGGUGUAGCAAGAGCUCGAGGCUCUCGCCAAAAAACACGAGUCCUUGGAGCUCGACUCUAAGACGCAAGAGUCCGAGCUCGCACAGGCGCUUGAAAGCGCCCGGAGCGCCAAGGCUGAAGCCCACAAGGCCCUCCAGGAAAUUGAUGCGGUGAAUAAGAUAGCAGUGGGUAAGGCAUUCAUUAUGCAAAGCAAGCAUGUGAAGGAAACUUUGCUUUUUCUUACCCGAGUUCGGAGCUCUCCAGGAGCGUUCGCAGAUAUUCCCCGCAGUGUACUGGAUGCCGCGGAGUUUUACCGAGCUGAGGAGGGGAGCUCGAGAGAGAAGUUGUUCUGGUCUCAAUAUACUGGGACCGAACACCCGAUGCCCUUGAGCGACCAGCUGAAGAAAUUGGUCGAGCUUCACAAGGCGGCCGAACAGGCCAUGAGGGGCCUUAUAGUCCGGAUGUGGCCUGACGAGCCCCAGUCCGGCAACUACUUCGGUCUGGUGAGGCGGCUUGUGGAGGCCUGCCCACGACUUGAAGUCAUAAAGCGGUCAGCCUGCAUCAAGGGUGCACGCAGGGCUUUUGCCCGGGCGAAGGUGCACUGGGCGAAGCUGGACGCUGUGAAGCUGGUGAAGGAGGAGUCGCCGGAGGGCAAGGAGCAUCGCCACCACGAGAUGUACUAUGAGAGUGUCCUGAAGGGUUCCCGCCUUGUGGCGGAUGAAUGUGCCAGGGAUGUAAUUUUUGAAUGAACAUGCUCGUGUGAUCCUGUAAUGUGAAACAAGUUCAUCUGCGCUAUGCAGCGCUUUUUUAAUUUAAAAUAUUACCUUCUGUGCGGCCGUUUACAAUAUCUGAGAGUUAGCCAGUCGUUGGCUUCUGCCCCCAUGUAGCUAUUACUGGGGUGUUCGGGAUAAACCUGAGCACUCUUUACCCAAUUUUGGGUCCUUCAAGGGAGGUGUUCAGCGCAACGAACUAGGCAAUCGGACUAUAAGGCUUUAUCACUCUCACUUAGCCAUAGAAAUCUACAAUUUUAAACUUUGGCGAAGCCCCUAGUGUUCGGAAGGCCGAAUUUGGGGCGCUAUACUCGCCUAAGCCGGACAAGGCCGGCUCCUCGCCCGAAGCGGAAAAAGUCUUUAAGGACUUGAGACCUCUCGAACAGCGACCAGUCUCUCGCCUUAUCAUGACAGACAAUUUUCGGCUUUCUCUACUAAGGCGCUCGUCUGGAAGAACCGGGACGCAAUCGCAGUAGUUCUCCCACCGCUACCUUAGCCUAUAUAGCGGAACGUAAGGUACCAAAGCAUGGGAGUCGGGCAAACCCAACAUUUGACCAAAGACAUGAUUCGGAGCUGAUGCAUAUAAUGCUAUAAGUUCGGGGUGCCGCACUGUCGAAAGUGUUUGGACUUCUUGCGCCGUAUUAUGGGGUAAACAAAAGCCCCUGGCAUACUGACCUUACCCGAACGUACGGGUGCGGAUUGUCGUGAAUGGACAUAAAGGGAAAAAAGGAAAGAAUAAUGCAAUAAUAGACUAAUGCUAUGCAUUGUUAUUUAAAUAAUACGUCGAGGCGUACUAGUACAGGUAGUGCAAUAAGCAGAAAGUAGGACUAUUCAAAAUAUCCUAUCCAAGGGCAAGCUGCGUAUGGAUAGUAGAAAGCGGGUAUUAUUAUUAGAGACCACCUAGGGGUUCCCGUGUUUAUCUUAGCUUCUUGUCGCGUUGGAUGUUGCUUCCCGUAAUCUGUCUAGCAAUCGUACUGCCGGAAAGGGCUUCCAGGGGGUUAGGUCCUGAAAGAGGAAAGAAAUGAUAAAGAUAUACAGCCCCUAGGGCGGUUAAGCCGCAUUGCGGGACGUGCCCUGAUCGUGCCCCUGCCUAUGUCCAUGGUAUUUUCACUGUGUAAUUAUGUACGCGCGGCACGGAUUUUGUUGCUUGACUGGGACUGGGACGGGGGCCGAAUUGCUAGGCGAGCUCUGAACGUGCCAGGCGAUCCUGUUGCAUUUUACUCCGGACACGCUUGAAGGUGUUCGGGGGCUGUAUCGCCGAAUUAGUGGUUUGCCUUAAAAGGCUGCUUUGUGCUUCUGCUGCGAGGGCCGCAGUGUGCUCUUCCAUGCGGAGCGAGCGUUCUGUGUUUCCAUUCACUGUUAUGACCCCCCCCGAGGUCCUGGCAUCUUGAGCUAGAGGUAUGCGUAGUGCGGUACUGCAUUGAAUUUUGCAAAUGCAGUUCGUUCGAGCAGUGCAUGUUAGCCACUUCGAAACGAGACGAUGUCGAAGAUUAACUCCUCGCUUUGGAAGUUGUCCGGUGAUCCGAAGACCACUUCCAGUGUGAUUGAGCCUGUGCAAUGGGCCUCUACACCUGGGAUGACGCCUUUAAAGGUGGUUUUGCUGGGUUUGAUCCUUGAGGGAUCGAUACCCAUUUUUCGCACUGUAUCCUAAUAGAGCAGGUUCAGGCUGCUGUUGAUAUGUCUGCAACGUAUCUAUAAUUUUUGAUUGCUCCAUGCUAUAUUAUCUACUGUUUUGGACUAUAUUGGGCUUUAUUUUCCACUUUUUUAUUAUUUUUGGGACUAACCUAUUAACCGGAGGCCCAGCCCAGAAUUGCUGUUUUUUGCCAGUUUUAGGGUUUCAAAGAAAAGGAAUAUCAAACGGAGUCCAAACGAAAUGAAACCCUCGGGAACGUGAUUUUCUCAUCAGAUAAGACCCAGGAGACUUGGACCCUCCGUCAAGAAAGCCAUGAGGUGGUCACGAGGGUGGAGGGCCCCCCUAGGGCGCGCCCCUGCCUCGUGGGCCCCUCGAAGCUCCACCGACGUACUUCUUCCUCCUAUAUAUAUCCACGUACCCCCAAACGAUUAGAACAGGAGCCAAAAACCUAAUUCCACCGCUGCAACUUUCUGCAUCCACAAGAUCCCAUCUUGGGGCCUGUUCUGGAGCUCCACCGGAGGGGGCAUCGAUCACGGAGGGCUUCUACAUCAUCAUCUAAGCCCCUCCGAUGAAGUGUGAGUAGUUUACUUCAGACCUACGGGUCCAUAGCUAGUAGCUAGAUGGCUUCUUCUCUCUUUUUGGAUCUCAAUACAAUGUUCUCCCCCUCUCUUGUGGAGAUCUAUUCGAUGUAAUCUUCUUUUUGCGGUGUGUUUGUUGAGACCGAUGAAUUGUGGGUUUAUGAUCUAGUCUAUCUAUGAAUAAUAUUUGAAUCUUCUCUGAAUUCUUUUAUGUAUGAUUGGUUAUCUUUGCAAGUCUCUUCGAAUUGUCAGUUUGGUUUGGCCUACUAGAUUGGUUGUUCUUGCCAUGGGAGAAGUGCUUAGCUUUGGGUUCAAUCUUGCGGUGUCCUUUCCUAGUGACAGAAGGGGCAGCAAGGCACGUAUUGUAUCGUUGCCAUCGAGGAUAACAAGAUGGGUUUUUAUCAUAUUGCAUGAAACUAUCCCUCUACAUCAUGUCAUCUUGUUAAGGCGUUACUCUGUUUUUAACUUAAUACUCUAGAUGCAUGCUGGAUAGCGGUCGACGAGUGGAGUAAUAGUAGUAGAUGCAGAACCGUUUUAGUCUACUUGUCUCGGACGUGAUGCCUAUAUACAUGAUCAUACCUAGAUAUUCUCAUAACUAUGCUCAAUUCUGUCAAUUGCUCAACAGUAAUUUGUUCACCCACUGUAGAAUACUUAUGCUCUUGAGAGAAGCCACUAGUGAAACCUAUGGCCCCCGGGUCUCUUUAUCAUCAUAUUAAUCUCCAUCACUUUAUUAUUGCUUUACUUUUACUUUGCUUUUACUUUUUACUUUGCAUCUCUAUACCAAAAAUACCAAAAAUAUUAUUUAUCAUCUCUAUUAGAUCUCACUUUCGUAAGUGACCGUGAAGGGACUGACAACCCCUAAGCGCGUUGGUUGCGUUGAGCUAUUGUUUUUGUGUAGCUGCGAGGGACUUGUGCGUGGCCUCCUACUGGAUUGAUACCUUGGUUCUCAAAAACUGAGGCAAAUACUUACGCUACUUUGCUGCAUCAUCCCUUCCUCUUCGGGGAAAUCCAACGCAGUGCUCAAGAGGUAGCAAGAAGAAUUUCUGGCGCCGUUGCCAGGGAGUCUGCGCAAAAGUCAACAUACCAAGUACCCAUCACAAUCCCUAUCUCCCGCAUUACAUUAUUUUCCAUUUGCCUCUUGUUUUCCUUUCCCCACUUCAUCCUUGCCGUUUUAUUCGCCCUCUCCCUCUCCCUCCUCCCUCUCUAUUUGACUCUUUUGCUCGUUUGCCUUUUGUUUGCUUGUGUGUUAGUUUGUUUGCUUGUCAUUAUGGCUAGUCCCUUAUCUUCUCCGUUGUCUCCUGAGAAUGAAGUUCUAAAUUUUAAACAAAGGGAGGGAGAAAAUCUAAAAGAUGCUUGGUAUAGAAUUUGCAAUGCUCAAAAUAGAUCUACCAGGAAGCAAUCUACUUCAGUUCUUCUUCGCAAUUUUUAUGUAGGCACCAAUCCUUGGUAUAGAUAUAUCCUUGAUACCAUUACCGGAGGGAAUUUCUUGGGUAGCCAUACUUUUGAUUCUUAUAAUGCUAUGUUAGAUUUAUUUGGCUCACCACCUCCUUUGGUUAAUGGAACUAUGUUAACUUUGGAGCAUGUUAUGCAAAGACUUGAAAUUAUUGAAAAUAAAGUUGCUACUAUUGAAUUAAUUGAAAAUCUAGAUAAAAAGAUCCACAAUCAAAUUACCCAAUACGGAUCUAAGGUAGGAAUGACUUUGAAAAAUAUUAAGGAAAAGGAACCCAUAGUUAAUGAGAAAAUAAACUUAGAUUCUACUAGAAUCAAUAAACUUGAGGGUAUCAUUACGAACUUGGGAACCGCUUUUUCUUCCGUAAAGAAUACUCCUAGUCCUCCUACUAAAAUUGCCAAGCUUAUGUAUGUUCCUAAAAAUAAAGGUGAAUCAUCUAGUAAGGAAACUGCGGAUCUUAAAUCUAUAAGUAUUCAUCCCAAUCUUUUUGCUAUCAUUAAGGAACCAAUUGCUACAAAUGAAUUUUUCGAUCUUGUGCCUAAGAGUUUGAUAAUCACUAGAAAGAAAGAAAAUCCUAAGGGAGAUAGAUGCCUCAUUGAAGAAUUGCCUACCAAAGAUGGCAAUACCUAGAUCUAUUCUUGCUUGUUAUGCCUAGCUAGGGGCGUUAAACGAUAGCGCUUGUUGGGAGGCAACCCAAUUUUAUUUUUAUUCCUUGCUUUUUGAUCCUGUUUAGUAAUAAAUAAAUUAUUUAGCCUCUGUUUUGGUUGUGUUUUUUGUGUUUAAUUAGUGUUUGUGCCAAGUAGAACCGUUGGGAAGACUUGGGGAAAGUCUUGUUGAACUUGCUGUAAAAAACAGAAACUUUAGCGCUCACGAGAACUGCUUUCAUUUUUAUUUGGAAAGUGCUAUUUAGUUAAUUCUUUUUGUAGAUGAUUAAUAGAUAAAUUCCUCACGUCUAUAAAUUUAUUUUAGAAUUUUUGGGGUUCCAUAUCUUGCGCUAGCUACAGAUUACUACAGACUGUUCUGUUUUUGACAGAUUCUGUUUUUUGUGUGUUGUUUGCUUAUUAUGAUGAUUCUAUGGCUAGUAAAAUAGUUUAUAUUCCAUAGAGAAGUUGGAAUACAGUAGGUUUAACACCGAUAUAAAUAAAGAAUGAGUUCAUCACAGUACCUUGAAGUAGUCUUUUGUUUUCCUUCGCUAAUGGAGCUCACGAGUUUUCUACUUUAAGUUUUGUGUUGUGAAGUUUUCAAGUUUUGGGUAAAGAUUUGAUGGAUCAUGGAACAAGGAGUGGCAAGAGCCUAAGCUUGGGGAUGCCCAUGGAACCCCCAAGAUAAUCUAAGGACACCUAAAAUCCAAAGCUUGGGGAUGCCCCGGAAGGCAUCCCCUCUUUUUCGUCUACUUCUAUCGGUAACUUUACUUGGAGCUAUAUUUUUAUUUACCACAUGAUAUGUGUUUUGCUUGGAGCGUCUUUUAUGAUUUGAGUCUUUGCUUGUUAGUCUACCACAAUCAUCCUUGCUGUACACACCUUUUGAGAGAGCCAUACAUGAUUUGGAAUUUGAUAGAAUACUUUAUGUGCUUCACUUAUAUCUUUUGAGCUUUAUAAUUUUGCUCUAGUGCUUCACUUAUAUCUUUUAGAGUACGGUGGUGGAUUUAUUUUAUAGAAACUAUUGAUCUCUCAUGCUUCACUCGGAUUAUUUUGAGAGUCUUAAUAGCAUGGUAAUUUGCUUAAAAUCCUAAUAUGCUUGGUAUGCAAGAUUAAUAAUAAAACUUUCAUAUGAGUGUGUUGAAUACAAAGAAAAGUUUGAUGCUUGAUGAUUGUUUUGAGAUAUGGAGGUAAUAAUAUCAAAGUCAUGCUAGUUGAGUAGUUGUGAAAUUGAGAAAUACUUGUGUUGAAGUUUGCAAGUCCCGUAUCAUGCACGUAUGGUAAACGUUAUGCAACAAAUUUGAAACAUGAGGUGUUAUUUGAUUGUCUUCUUUAUGAGCGGCGGUCGGGGACGAGCGAUGGUCUUUUCCUACCAAUCUAUCCCCCUAGGAGCAUGCGCGUAGUGCCGAGAUUUUUGAUGACUUGUAGAUUUUUGCAAUAAGUAUGUGAGUUCUUUAUGACUAAUGUUGAGUCCAUGGAUUAUACACACUCUCACCCUUCCAUCCCUGCUAGCCUCUUCAGUAUCGUGCAUUGCCCUUUCUCACAUUGAGAGUUGGCACAAACUUCGCCGGUGCAUCCAAACCCCGUGAUAUGAUACGCUCUUUCACACAUAAACCUCCUUAUAUCUUCCUCAAAACAGCCACCAUACCUACCUAUUAUGGCAUUUCCAUAGCCAUUCCGAGAUAUAUUGCCAUGCAACUUUCCAUCAUUCCAUUCAUCAUGACACAUUCACCAUUGUCAUAUUUCUUAGCAUGAUCAUGUAGUUGACAUAGUAUUUGUGGCAAAGCCACCGUUCAUAAUUCUUUCAUACAUGUCACUCUUGGUUCAUUGCAUAUCCUGAUACACCGCCGGAGGCAUUCAUAUAGAGUCAUCUUUGUUCUAGUAUCGACUUGUAAUCAUUGAGUUGUAAAUAAAUAGAAGUGUGAUGAUCAUCAUUAUUAGAGCAUUGUCCCAUAGUGAGGAAUAAAAAAAGAAAGGCCAUAAAAAAGGGAAGGCCCAAAAAAAGAGAGAAAGGCCAUAAAAAAAGAAAAGGCCCAAAAAAAUGAGAGAAAAAGAGAGAAUGGACAAUGUUACUAUCCUUUUACCACACUUGUGCGUCAAAGUAGCACCAUGAUCUUCAUAGUAGAGAGUCUCUCAUGUUAUCACUUUCAUAUACUAGUGGGAAUUUUUCAUUAUAGAACUUGACUUGUAUAUUCCAACAAUGGGCCUCCUCAAGUGCCCUAGGUCUUCGUGAGCAAGCAAGUUGGAUGCACACCCACUAGUUUCUUUUGUUGAGCUUUCAUACAUUUAUAGCUCUAGUGCAUCCGUUGCAUGGCAAUCCCUACCCCUUGCAUUAACAUCAAUCGGUGGGCAUCUCCAUAGCCCAUUGAUUAGCCUCGUUGAUGUGAGACUUUCUCCUUUUUUGUCUUCUCCACAUACCCCCCCUCAUUAUAUUCUAUUCCACCCAUAGUGCUAUGUAGUCCAUGGCUCGCGCUCAUAUAUUGCAUGAAAGUUUAUAGGUUUGAGAUUACUAAAGUAUGAAACAAUUGCUUAGCUUGUCAUCGGGGUUGUGCAUGAUGAGAGCAUUCUUGUGUGACGAAAAUGAAACAUGACUAAACUAUAUGAUUUUGUAGGGAUGAACUUUCUUUGGCCAUGUUAUUUUGAGAAGACAUAAUUGCUUAGUUAGUAUGCUUGAAGUAUUAUCAUUUUUAUGUUAAUAUGAACUUUUGUCUUGAAUCUUUCGGAUCUGAAUAUUCAUACCACAAUUAAGAAGAAUUACAUUAAAAUUAUGCCAAGUAUCACUCCGCAUCAAAAAUUCUGUUUUGAUCAUUUACCUACUCGAGGACGAGCAGGAAUUAAGCUUGGGGAUGCUUGAUACGUCUCCAACGUAUCUAUAAUUUUUGAUUGCCCCAUGCUAUAUUAUCUACUGUUUUGGACUAUAUUGGGCUUUAUUUUCCACUUUUAUAUUAUUUUUGGGACUAACCUAUUAACCGGAGGCCCAGCCCAGAAUUGCUGUUUUUUUGCCUAUUUUAGGGUUUUGAAGAAAAGGAAUAUCAAACGGAGUCCAAACGGAAUGAAACCUUUGGGAACGUGAUUUUCUCAUCAGAUAAGACCCAGGAGACUUGGACCCUUUGUCAAGAAAGCCACGAGGCGGUCACGAGGGUGGAGGGCGCGCCCCCUGCCUCGUGGCCCCCUCGAAGCUCCACCGACGUACUUCUUCCUCCUAUAUAUGUCCACGUACCCCCAAACGAUCAGAAUAGGAGCCAAAAACCUAAUUCCACAGCCGCAACUUUCUGUAUCCAUGAGAUCCCAUCUUGGGGACUGUUCUGGAGCUCCGCCGGAGGGGGCGUCGAUCACGGAGGGCUUCUACAUUAUCAUCUAAGCCCCUCCGAUGAAGUGUGAGUAGCUUACUUCAGACCUACGGGUCCAUAGCUAGUAGCUAGAUGGCUUCUUGUCUCUUUUUGGAUCUCAAUACAAUGUUCUCCCCCUCUCUUGUGGAGAUCUAUUUGAUGUAAUCUUCUUUUUUGCGGUGUGUUUGUUGAGACCGAUGAAUUGUGGGUUUAUGAUCCAGUCUAUCUAUGAAUAAUAUUUGAAUCUUCUCUGAAUUCUUUUAUGUAUGAUUGGUUAUCUUUGCAAGUCUCUUCAAAUUAUCAGUUUGGUUUGGCCUACUAGAUUGGUUGUUCUUGCCAUGGGAGAAGUGCUUAGCUUCGGGUUCGAUCUUGCGGUGUCCUUUCCUAGUGACAGAAGGGGCAGCAAGGCACGUAUUGUAUCGUUGCCAUCGAGGAUAACAAGAUGGGUUUUUUAUCAUAUUGCAUGAAAUUAUCCCUCUACAUCUUGUCAUCUUGCUUAAGGCGUUACUCUAUUUUUAACUUAAUACUCUAGAUGCAUGCUGGAUAGCGGUCGAUGAGUGGAGUAAUAGUAGUAGAUGCAGAACCGUUUCGGUCUACUUGUCUCGGACGUGAUGCCUAUAUACAUGAUCAUACCUAGAUAUUCUCAUAACUAUGCUCAAUUCUGUCAAUUGCUCAACAGUAAUUUGUUCACCCACCGUAGAAUACUUAUGCUCUUGAGAGAAGCCACUAGUGAAACCUAUGGCCCCGGGGUCUCUUUAUCAUCAUAUUAAUCUCCAUCACUUUAUUAUUGCUUUGCUUUUACUUUGCUUUUACUUUUUUACUUUGCAUCUCUAUACCAAAAAUAAUAUUUAUCAUUCUAUCAGAUCUCACUUUCGUAAGUGAUCGUGAAGGGACUGACAACCCCUAAGCGUGUUGGUUGCGUUGAGCUAUUGUUUUUAUGUAGGUGCGAGGGACUUGUGCGUGGCCUCCUACUGGAUUGAUACCUUGGUUCUCAAAAACUGAGGGAAAUACUUAGGCUACUUUGCUACAUAAUCCCUUCCUCUUCGGGGAAAUCCAACGCAGUGCUCAAGAGGUAGCAGCUGCCGCCGUCCACAAGGACUCGAGUGAGAUGAAAUCCGUCGAUGAUGGGGUCUAGGACUAGUGCGGCGGAUCCGCCAUGACGGAUGCUAGUGGGGUGAUCCCUGCGAUCAAAGGUGAUCGGGCAAGCAGACCAUGGGUUGAACUUUGGGGCAACGGGCUCCAUCGCAUAGACGUCCCUUAGUGCAUGCUUCCGCUCCCUCUUGGGAAUGUGGGUUGCGUAUAGCAUGUUCACCGUCUUCACUUGUGGGGGGGAACCCUUUUUGUCCUCCCGUGUUCGGCGGCCGGGGAUCUUCCUCGUCAUCACUAUGCAGCCCCUUGUCCUUGUUUUCGGCAUUUAACUUGUCGGCCUGCUUGAACACCUAGCAUUCUCUGUUGGUGUGAUUGGCUGGCUUGUCGGGGGUGCCAUGGAUUUGACACAAGCGAUUCAGUAUGCGAUCCAAACUGGACGGAGCCGGAGUACUUCUUUUAAAUGGUUUUUUCUGCUGACCGGAUCUAGAGCCUCUGAAUCCGGCAUUGACUGCCGUAUCCUUAGUGUUAUCGCCGUUAUUGCAGUGCUUUGGUCUAUUACGACGUUGUCUGCCGUUGGCAUCUUUGGUAUUCAAAGUGCCCGGAUUCCUCGAUGUGUUAUUGCUGCGAGCCAGCCAGCUAUCCUCGCCCGCGCAGAAGUGGGUCAUGAGUGUCGUGAGGGCUGCCAUAGACUUCGGCUUUUGUUGGCCGAGGUGCCGGGCAAGCCACUCGUCGCGGAUGUUAUGCUUGAAUGCCACUAAGGCCUCUGCAUCCGGACAGUCGACAAUUUGGUUUUUCUUAGUUAGGAAUUGUGUCUAGAAUUGUCUGGCCGAUUCCCCUGGCUGCUGAGUUAUAUGGCUCAAGUCAUCAGCAUCUGGUGGUCGCACAUAAGUGCCCUGGAAGUUGUCAAGGAAUGCAUCUUCUAGAUCCUCCCAACUUCUGAUGGAGUCUGCUGGCAAGCUAUUCAGCCAAUGCCGAGCUGGUCCUUUGAGUUUUAGUGGGAGGUAUUUGAUGGCAUGUAGAUCAUCACCGCGAGCCAUGUGGAUGUGAAGGAGGAAAUCCUCAAUCCAUACAGCGGGAUCUGUUGUACCAUCAUAUGAUUCGAUAUUUACGGGUUUGAAACCCUUCGGGAAUUCAUGAUCGAUAACUUCAUCAGUGAAGCAUAGGGGGUGUGCGGCGCCUCUGUGCCGGGCUAUAUCCGACGCAGUUUAUGUGAGUCUUGUCUGCCGUAUUCGGCCCGGCCGGAUUUGCUUUUGGUGUAUCCGGCGCGACGAUCAUCGUCCCGUGUUGGCGCGCGUGCCCGUGACUCGUAUAUUGACCUUGCAAGUUUUGCCUUACUGUCCAAUACGUCUCGUAGGUCCCGUGUGUUGCCCCGGGCCUUGGUAUUUUUGAAUGAGUGGCGGUGGGGUGCAGGCUGAACUUUAGGCUGAAACGCCUCUCUGGCUCGGCCAUGCAGUGACCGGUCAGCUGCAUCGUACACUGGUGAAUGAGGUUUCAAUGCUUCCUCCUCGAGGUGAGGUAGCAACCUGUGUUUUGGGUAACUCUUGGAGGGGCGCUCGAGUUCGUAUUCCUCGGCCGCAAGGACUUCGGUCCAUCUGUCUGCUAGCAAGUCUUGAUCAGCUUGAAGCUACUGUUGCUUUUUCUUCAGGCUAUUUGCUGUGGCCAUAAGCCGGCGUUUGAAGCGCUCCUGCUCGACGGGGUCCUCAGGCACGAUAAAUUCUUUGUCGCCGAGGCUCGCCUCGUCUUCGGAGAGAGGCAUGAAGUUAUCCUCCUCCGGUUCUCCAUCUGCUGCCUGCUCUGGAGGGCUGGCUUGUUCAUCCUCCAGCUCUACAUCGUGCUGGAGGGGAUUGUGGUUGUCCUUGGCACUAUCCGUACUGUUAUUAUCUCCUAUGCCGGUAUCACUACUUUUGCUAUGGCGGGACUUAGAGCGGCGCCGCUGACGUCGGCGCUUGGGUUGCUUCUUGGAGGGGUCAUCCUCCGCAGUCUCGUCGCCAUUGCCUUCUUUAGGGGCGUCUGUUGGGUAACGUAGUAAUUUCAAAAAAAUUCCUACGCACACGCAAGAUCAUGGUGAUGCAUAGCAACGAGAGGGGAGAGUGUUGUCUAUGUACCCUCGUAGACCGGCAACGGAAGCGUUGACACAACGUAGAGGAAGUAGUCGUACGUCUUCCCGAUCCGACCGAUCCAAGUACCGAACAUACGGCACCUCCGUGUUCUGCACACGUUCAACUCGGUGACGUCCCUCGAGCUCCGAUCCAGCCGAGUGUUGAGGGAGAGUUUCGUCAGCACGAUGGCGUGAUGACGGUGAUGAUGUUCUACCGAUGCAGGGCUUCGCCUAAGCACCGCUACGAUAUGACCGAGGUGGAAUAUGGUGGAAGGGGGCACCGCACACGGCUAAGGAACGAUCACGAAGAUCAACUUGUGUGUCAUGGGGUGCCCCCUUGCCCCCGUAUAUAAAGGAGGGAGGGGGGAGGUGCGGCCGGCCCCUAGGGGUGCGCCUGGAGGAGUCCUACUCCCACCGGGAGUAGGACUCCCCCCUCUUGCCUUGUUGGAGAAGGAAAGGGGAAGGGGAAAGAGGAAAGGGGCCCCCCUUCCUUGUCCUAUUCGGACUAGGGAAGGAGGGGGCGCGCGGCCUGCCCUGGCCGGCCCUCCUCUUCUCCCUUAGGGCCCACGUAGGCCCAUUAACCCCCCGGGGGGGUUCCGGUAACCCCCCGAUACUCCGGUAAAAUCCCGAUUUCACCCGGAACGUUUUUGAUAUCCAAAUAUAGGCUUCCAAUAUAUCAAUAUUUAUGUCUCGACCAUGUCGAGACUCUUCGUCAUGUCCGUGAUCACAUCCGGGACUCCAAACAACCUUCGGUACAUCAAAACACAAAAACCCUAAUUACGAUCGUCACCGAACUUUAAGCGUGCGGACCCUACGGGUUCGAGAACUAUGUAGACAUGACCGAGACACGUCUUCGGUCAAUAACCAAUAGCGGAACCUGGAUGCUCAUAUUGGCUCCUACAUAUUCUACGAAGAUCUUUAUCGGUCAGACCGCAUAACAACAUACGUUGUUCCCUUUGUCAUCGGUAUGUUACUUGCCCGAGAUUCUAUCGUCAGUAUCUCAAUACCUAGUUCAAUCUCGUUACCGGCAAGUCUCUUUACUCGUUCAGUAAUACAUCAUCCCGCAACUAACUUAUUAGUUGCAAUGCUUGCAAGGCUUGAGUGAUGUGCAUUACCGAGAGGGCCCAGAGAUGCCUCUCCGACAAUCGGAGUGACAAAUACUAAUCUCGAAAUACGCCAACCCAACAAGUACAUUCGGAGACACCUGUAGAGCACCUUUAUAAUCACCCAGUUAUGUUGUGACGUUUGGUAGCACACAAAGUGUUCCUCCGAUAAACGGGAGUUGCAUAAUCUCAUAGUCAUAGGAACAUGUAUAAGUUAUGAAGAAAGCAAUAGCAACAAACUAAAUGAUCAAGUGCUAAGCUAACGGAAUGGGUCAAGUCAAUCACAUCAUUCUCCUAAUGAUGUGAUCCCGUUAAUCAAAUGACAACUCAUGUCUAUGGCUAGGAAACAUAACCAUCUUUGAUCAACGAGCUAGUCAAGUAGAGGCAUACUAGUGACACUCUGUUUGUCUAUGUAUUCACACAUGUGUUAUGUUUCCGGUUAAUACAAUUCUAGCAUGAAUAAUAAACAUUUAUCAUGAUAUAAGGAAAUAAAUAAUAACUUUAUUAUUGCCUCUAGGGCAUAUUUCCUUCAGUUUCCCACUUGCACUAGAGUCAAUAAUCUAGUUCACAUCGCCAUGUGAUUUAAUAUAGUAGUUCACAUCACCAUGUGAUUAACACCCAUAGUUCACAUCAUCAUGUGACCAACACCCAAAGGGUUUACUAGAUUCAAUCAUCUAGUUCGCAUCGCUAUGUGAUUAACGCCCAAAGAGUACUAAGGUGUGAUCAUGUUUUGCUUGUGAGAGAAGUUUAGUCAACGGGUCUGCCACAUUCAGAUCCGUAAGUAUUUUGCAAAUUUCUAUGUCAACAAUGCUCUGCACUAAGAUACUCUAGCUAAUUGCUCCCACUUUCAAUAUGUAUCCAGAUUGAGACUUUGAGUCAUCUGGAUCAGUGUCAAAACUUGCAUCGACGUAACCCUUUACGACGAACCUUUUGUCACCUCCAUAAUCGAGAAACAUAUCGUUAAUUCCGCUAAGGAUAAUUUUGACUGCUGUCCAGUGAUCUACUCCUAGAUCACUAUUGUACUCCCUUGCCAAACUUAUGGUGAGGUACACAAUAGAUCUGGUACACAGCAUGGGAUACUUUAUAGAACCUAUGGCCAAAUCAUAGGGAAUGACUUUCAUUCUCUUUCUAUCUUGUGCCAUGGUCGGGCUUUGAGUCUUACUCAGUUUCACACCUUGUAACACAGGCAAGAACUCUUUCUUUGACUGUUCCAUUUUGAACUACUUCAAAAUCUUGUCAAGGUAUGUACUCAUUGAAAAACUUAUCAAGCGUCUUGAUCUAUCUCUUGAUGCUCAAUAUGUAAGCAGCUUCACCGAGGUUUUUCUUUGAAAAAACUCCUUUCAAGCAUUCCUUUAUGCUUUGCAGAAUAAUUCUACAUCAUCUCCGAUCAACAAUAUGCCAUACAUAUACUUAUCAGAAAUGUUGUAGUGCUCCCACUCACUUUCUUGUAAAUACAGGCUUCACCACAAGUCUGUAUAAAACUAUAUGCUUCGAUCAACUUAUCAAAGCGUAUAUUCCAACUUCGAGAUGCUUGCACCAGUCCAUAGAUGGAUCGUUGGAGCUUGCAUAUUUUGUUAGUACCUUUCGGAUCGACAAAACCUUCUGGUUGCAUCAUAUACAACUCUUCUUUAAUAAUCCUAUUAAGGAAUGCAGUUUUGUUUAUCCAUUUGCCAGAUUUCAUAAAAUGCGGCAAUAGCUAACAUGAUUCGGACAGACUUAAGCAUAGAUACGAGUGAGAAAUUCUCAUCGUGGUCAACACCUUGAACUUGUCGAAAACCUUUUUGCGACAGUUCUAGCUUUGUAGAUAGCAACACUACUAUCAGCGUCCGUCUUCCUCUUGAAGAUCCAUUUAAUCUCAAUGGCUCGCCGAUCUUUGGGCAAGUCAAUCAAAGUCCAUACUUUGUUCUUAUACAUGGAUCUCAUCUCAGAUUUCACGGCCUCAAGCCAUUUCGCAGAAUCUGGGUUCAUCAUCGCUUCCUCAUAGUUCGUAGGCUCGUCAUGGUCAAGUAACAUGACCUCCAGAACAGGAUUACCGUACCACUCUGGUGCGGAUCUUACUCUGGUUUACCUACGAGGUUCGGUAGUAACUUGAUCUGAAGUUACAUGAUCAUCAUCAUUAGCUUCUUCACUAAUUGGUGUAGUAGUCACAGGAACAGAUUUCUGUGAUGAACUACUUUCCAAUAAGGGAGCAGGUACAGUUACCUCAUCAAGUUCUACUUUCCUCCCACUCACUUCUUUCGAGAAAAACUCCUUCUCUAGAAAGGAUCCAUUCUCAGCAACAAAUAUCUUGCCUUCGGAUCUGUGAUGGAAGGUGUACCCAACAGUUACUUUUGGGUAUCCUAUGAAGAUGCACUUCUCCGACUUGGGUUUGAGCUUAUCAAGAUGAAACUUUUUCACAUAAGCAUCGCAACCCCAAACUUUAAGAAAUGACAACUUUGGUUUCUUGCCAAACCAUAGUUCAUACGGUGUCGUCUCAACGGAUUUAGAUGGUGCCCUAUUUAACGUGAAUGUAGCUGUCUCUAAUGCAUAACCCCAAAACGAUAGUGGUAAAUUGGUAAGAGACAUCAUAGAUCGCACCAUAUCUAGUAAAGUACGGUUACGACGUUCGGACACACCAUUACACCGUGGUGUUCCAGGUGGCGUGAGUAGUGAAACUAUUUCACAUUGUUUUAACUGAAGGCCAAACUCGUAACUCAAAUAUUUUACUUCUGCGAUCAUAUCGUAGAAACUUUUACUUUUGUUACAAUGAUUCUCCACUUCACUUUGAAAUUCUUUGAACUUUUCAAAUGUUUCAGACUUGUGUUUCAUCAAGUAGAUAUACUUAUAUCUGCUCAAAUCAUCUGUGAAGAUCAGAAAAUAAUGAUACCCGCCGCGAGCCUCAGUAUUCAUUGGACCACACACUUCUGUAUGUAUGAUUUCCAACAAAUCUGUUGCUCGCUCCAUAGUUCCAGAGAACGACAUUUUAGUCAUCUUGCCCAUGAGGCACGGUUCACAAGUACCAAGUGAUUCAUAAUCAAGUGGUUCCAAAAGUCCAUCAGCAUGGAUUUUCUUCAUGCGCUUUACACCAAUAUGACCUAAACAGCAGUGCCACAAAUAAGUUGCACUAUCAUUAUUAACUUUGCAUCUUUUGGCUUCAAUAUUAUGAGAAUGUGUAUCACCACAAUCGAGAUCCAACAAACCAUUUUCAUUGGGUGUAUGACCAUAGGAGAUUUUAUUCAUGUAAACAGAACAACAAUUUAUUCUCUUACUUAAAUGAAUAACCGUAUUGCAAUAAACAUGAUCAAAUCAUAUUCAUGCUCAACGCAAACACCAAAUAACACUUAUUUAGGUUCAACACUAAUCCCGAAAGUAUAGGGAGUGUGCGAUGAUGAUCAUAUCAAUCUUGGAACCACUUCCAACACACAUCGUCACUUCACCCUUAACUAGUCUCUGUUCAUUCUGCAACUCCCGUUUCGAGUUACUACUCUUAGCAACUGAACCAGUAUCAAAUACCGAGGGGUUGCUACGAACACUAGUAAAAUACACAUCAAUAAUUUGUAUAUCAAAUAUACCUUUGUUCACUUUGCCAUCCUUCUUAUCCGCCAAAUACUUGGGGCAGUUCCGCUUCCAGUGACCAGUCCCUUUGCAGUAGAAGCACUUAGUCUCAGGCUUAGGACCAGACUUGGGCUUCUUCACUUGAGCAGCAACUUGCUUGCCAUUCUUCUUGAAGUUCCCUUUCUUUCCCUUUGCCCUUUUCUUGAAACUAGUGGUCUUGUUAAUCAUCAACACUUGAUGCUCUUUCUUGAUUUCUACCUUCAUCGAUUUUCAUCAUCAUGAAAAGCUCGGGAAUCGUUUUCAUCAUCCCUUGCAUACUAUAGUUCAUCACGAAGUUCUACUAACUUGGUGAUGGUGACUAGAGAAUUCUGUCAAUCACUAUUUUAUCUGGAAGAUUAACUCCCACUUGAUUCAAGCGAUUGUAGUACCCAGACAAUCUGAACACAUGCUCACUACUUGAGCUAUUCUCCUCCAUCUUUUAGCUAUAUAACUUGUUGGAGACUUCAUAUCUCUCAACUCGGGUAUUUGCUUGAAAUAUUAACUUCAACUCCUAGAAAACCAUAUGAUCCAUGAUGUUCAAAACGUCUUUGAAGUCCUGAUUCUAAGCUGUUAAGCACGGUGCACUAAACUAUCAAGUAGUCAUCAUAUUGAGCUAGCCAAACGUUCAUGACGUCUGCAUCUGCUCCUGCAAUAGGUCUGUCACCUAGCGGUGCAUUAAGGACAUAAUUCUUCUGUGCAGCAAUGAGGAUAAACCUCAGAUCACGGAUCCAAUCCACAUCAUUGCUACUAACAUCUUUCAACUUAGUUUUCUCUAGGAACAUAUCAAAAAUAAAACAGGGGAGCUAAACGCGAGCUAUUGAUCUACAACAUAGAUAUGCUAAUACUACCAAGGCUAAGUUCAUGAUAAAUUUAAGUUCAAUUAAUCAUAUUACUUAAGAACUCCCACUUAGAAAGACAUCCCUCUAAUCUUCGAAGUGAUCACGUGAUCCAAAUCAACUAAACCAUAACCGAUCAUCACGUGAAAUGGAGUAGUUUUCAAUGGUGAACAUCACUAUGUUGAUCAUAUCUACUAUAUGAUUCACGCUCGACCUUUCAGUCUCAGUGUUCCGAGGCCAUAUCUGCAUAUGCUAGGCUCGUCAAGUUUAACCUGAGUAUUCUGCGUGUGCAAAACUGGCUUGCACCCAUUGUAGAUGGACGUAGAGCUUAUCACACCCGAUCAUCACGUGGUGUCUGGGCACGACGAACUUUGGCAACGGUGCAUACUCAGGGAGAACACUUUUAUCUUGAAAUUUAGUGAGAGAUCAUCUUAUAAUGCUACCGUCAAUUAAAGCAAGAUAAGAUGCAUAAAAGAUAAACAUCACAUGCAAUCAAAAUAUGUGACAUGAUAUGGCCAUCAUCAUCAUCUUGUGCCUUUGAUCUCCAUCUCCAAAACAUCGUCAUGAUUUCCAUAGUCACCGGCAUGACACCAUGAUCUCCAUCAUCUUGAACUAUAUCAACAUGUCGUCACAUGGUCGUCUCGCCAACUAUUGCUCUUGCAACUAUUGCUAUCGCAUAGCGAUAAUUGUAAAGCAAUUAUUUGGCGCUUGCAUCUUAUGCAAUAAAGAGACGACCAUAAGGCUUCUGCCAGUUGCCGAUAACUUCAACAAAACAUGAUCAUCUUAUACAAUAACUUAUAUCUCAUCAUGUCUUGACCAUAUCACAUCACAACAUGCCCUGCAAAAACAAGUUAGACAUCCUCUACUUUGUUGUUGCAAGUUUUACGCGGCUACUACGGGCUGAGCAAGAACCGUUCUUACCUACGCAUCGAAAACCACAACGAUAGUUUGUCAAGUUAGUGUUGUUUUAACCUUCUCAAGGACCGGGCGUAGCCACACUCGGUUCAACUAAAGUUGGAGAAACUGACACCCGCUAGUCACCUGUGUGCAUAGCACGACGGUAAAACCAGUCUCGCGUAAGCGUACGCGUAAUGUCGAUCCGGGCCGCUUCAUCCAACAAUACCGCUGAACCAAAGUGUGACAUGCUGGUAAGCAGUAUGACUUAUAUCGCCCACAACUCACUUGUGUUCUACUCGUGCAUAUGACAUCUACGCAUAAAACCUGGCUCGGAUGCCACUGUUGGGUAACGUAGUAAUUUCAAAAAAAUUCCCACGCACACGCAAGAUCAUGGUGAUGCAUAGCAAUGAGAGGGGAGAGUGUUGUCUACGUACCCUCGUAGACCAGCAAUGGAAGCGUUGACACAAUGCAUAGGAAGUAGUCGUACGUCUUCCCGAUCCGACCGAUCCAAGUACCGACGGUACGACACCUCGGAGUUCUGCACACGUUCAAGUCGGUGACAUCCCUCGAGCUCCGAUCCAGCCGAGUGUUGAGAGAGAGUUUCGUCAGCAUGAUGGCGUGAUGACGGUGAUGAUGUUCUACCGACGCAGGGCUUCGCCUAAGCACUGCUACGAUAUGACCGAGGUGGAAUAUGGUGGAAGGGGGGCACCGCACACGGCUAAGGAACGAUCACGAAGAUCAACUUGUGUGUCAUGGGGUGCCCCCUUGCCCCCGUAUAUAAAGAAGGGAGGGGGGAGGUGCGGCCGUCCCCUAGGGGUGCGCUUGGAGGAGUCCUACUCCCACCGGGAGUAGGACUCCCCCUUCUUGCCUUGUUGGAGAAGGAAAGGGGAAGGGGGGAAGAGGAAAGGGCCCCCCUUCCUUGUCCUAUUCGGACUAGGGGGGGAGGGGGCGCGCGNNNNNNNNNNNNNNNNNNNNNNNNNNNNNNNNNNNNNNNNNNNNNNNNNNNNNNNNNNNNNNNNNNNNNNNNNNNNNNNNNNNNNNNNNNNNNNNNNNNNNNNNNNNNNNNNNNNNNNNNNNNNNNNNNNNNNNNNNNNNNNNNNNNNNNNNNNNNNNNNNNNNNNNNNNNNNNNNNNNNNNNNNNNNNNNNNNNNNNNNNNNNNNNNNNNNNNNNNNNNNNNNNNNNNNNNNNNNNNNNNNNNNNNNNNNNNNNNNNNNNNNNNNNNNNNNNNNAAUCCCGAUUUCACCCGGAACGUUUCCGAUAUCCAAAUAUAGGCUUCCAAUAUAUCAAUCUUUAUGUCUCGACCAUUUCGAGACUCCUCAUCAUGUCCGUGAUCACAUCUGGGACUCCGAACAACCUUCGGUACAUGAAAACACAAAAACCCUAAUUACGAUCGUCACCGAACUUUAAGCGUGCGGACCCUACGGGUUCGAGAACUAUGUAGACAUGACCGAGAUACGUCUCCGGUUAAUAACCAAUAGCGGAACCUGGAUUCUCAUAUUGGCUCCUACAUAUUCUACGAAGAUCUUUAUCGGUCAGACCGCAUAACAACAUACGUCUUCCCUUUGUCAUCGGUAUGUUACUUGCCCGAGAUUCGAUCGUCGGUAUCUCAAUACCUAGUUCAAUUUCGUUACCGGCAAGUCUCAUUACUCGUUCCGUAAUACAUCACCCUGCAACUAACUUAUUAGUUGCAAUGCUUGCAAUGCUUGAGUGAUGUGCAUUACCGAGAGGGCCCAGAGAUACCUCUCCGACAAUUGGAGUGACAAAUCCUAAUCUCGAAAUACGCCAACCCAACAAGUACCUUCGGAGACACCUGUAGAGCACCUUUAUAAUCACCCAGUUAUGUUGUGACGUUUGGUAGCACACAAAGUGUUCCUACGGUAAACGGGAGUUGCAUAAUCUCAUAGUCAUAGGAACAUGUAUAAGUUAUGAAGAAAGCAAUAGCAACAAACUAAACGAUCAAGUGCUAAGCUAACGGAAUGGGUCAAGUCAAUCACAUCAUUCUCCUAAUGAUGUGAUCCCGUUAAUCAAAUGACAACUCAUGUCUAUGGCUAGGAAACAUAACCAUCUUUGAUCAACGAGCUAGUCAAGUAGAGGCAUACUAGUGACACUCUAUUUGUCUAUGUAUUCACACAUGUAUUAUGUUUCCGGCUAAUACAAUUCUAGCAUGAAUAAUAAACAUUUAUCAUGAUAUAAGGAAAUAAAUAAUAACUUUAUUAUUGCCUCUAGGGCAUAUUUCCUUCAGUGUCCACCAUAUAUAUGUCGUAUGAUGAGGUAGCGGUCCAGUGCCCUGUGGGCGGUGGUUCCUGCUCGUCUCCUGCAUCAUCAUCCAUACCGUCGAUGUCUUAGGAGUCGAAGUCGAGCAUGUCGGUUAAAUCAUCGACAGUGGCUACUAAGUGAGUGGUGGGUGGGCAGUGAAUUUCUUCGCCGUCCGCAUCCUGUUCUAGCCGGACAUAGUUCGGCCAAGGUUCUCCUGACAGGGAGAGGGACCUCAAUGAAUUUAGCACAUCGUCGAAGGGUGAGUGCUGAAAGAUAUCUGCGGAGGUGAACUCCAUGAUUGGCGCCCAGUUGGAUUCGAUGGGCACGGAUGUAAGCGGCUCGGAGUCCAUGGCCGGAGGUGAAUCCAGUGGUUCGGCGACACGACUCUCGUAAGGGGUGAAGUUAGUAUCCGGCUCCAUCGCCAUUGAGAGUGGGGUCUCCAUGGUGGGGUCUAUCCCUCCGCUCUCGGAUGGCGCGAUUUGCUCCGGAUUGACGGCCGGAGUAGUUGCAAAUGCGAUCUCCCGAACACUGUCCGACGGCAGAGUUACAUCGUGCUCGUCGUGACUGUGCGGCGCACCUGACACGGGCUCGAAUCCGUCGAAGAUCAAGUCUCCGCGGACAUCGGCAGUGUAGUUUAAGUUUCCGAAUCUAACCUGAUGGCCAGGGGCGUAGCUCUCGAUCUGCUCCAGAUGGCCAAGCGAAUUGGCCCAUAGUGUGAAGCCGCCGAAUACGAAGAUCUUUCCGGGGAGGAAAACCUGACCCUAGACCGCAUCGCUAUCGAUGAUCGAAGGAGCCAUCAAGCCUUAUGGUGACGACAUAGUGGAACUCUGAAUGAAAGCACCAAUGUCGGUGUGAAAACCGGCGGAUCUCGGGUAGGCGGUCCCGAACUGUGUGUCUAAGGCGGAUGGUAACAGGAAGCAGGGGACACGAUGUUUUACCCAGGUUCGGGCCCUCUUGAUGGAGGUAAUACCCUACGUCAUGCUUGAUUGUUCUUGAUGAUAUGAGUAUUACAAGAGUUGAUCUACCACGAGAUCAUAGAGGCUAAACCCUAGAAGCUAGCCUAUGGUAUGAUUGUAUGUUGUCCUAUGGACUAAACCCUCCGGUUUAUAUAGACACUGGAGGGGGCUAGGGUUACACAAGGUCGGUUACAAGGGAGGAGAUCUACAUAUCCGUAUUACCUAGCUUGCCUUCCACGCCAAGGAGAGUCCCAUCCGGACAUGGGACGAAGUCUUCAAUCUUGUAUCUUCAUAGUCCAACAGUCCGGCUAAAGGAUAUAGUCCGGCUGUCCGGAGACCCCCUAAUCCAGGACUCCCUCAGUCGCUCGCCGGGCGGGGUUGCCGGGCGCGUCGUCGGGCCCCCACACGGUUGGUGGGAGGGGGGGCGACUCUGCGGUUUCCUCCUCCACCUCCACCACCCCUUCGUCGCAUGCUCCGGCGGGGCUGGUGUGGCCCUAUUUUGCCCCGCUGUGCUUGAAGGUCGAGUCUGAAUCGGGGAUGGGGUCGGGUGAGUUGUGCGUCGUCAGGCGGACCCGUGUGAUGGAUGAGCUAGAGGGCAGGUUACAACAUGCCAUGAUGGUGUACAUGGGUGGAUACAACGCGGCGGUCUCACGGGCGUUCGUGCUGGAGGCACUGCAGGAGAGGAUGGGCAUCCCGCCGAACAGGGUGUCGGUCCAUAGGUUCAGGUCGGAGGAUUUUCUGGUGGUUUUCACGAGGUCGGAGGACCGCAAUAGACUGGGGCUCCGCCCGGUGCUGGAGUUCAGGGGUGCCGACUAUUUUUCCGGCAGUGGAUCAGGCAGACGCAUGCCGUGUUCGCGGCCAUGAAAUUCAAGGUUGGCUUGGAGCUGGAAGGCAUCCCUCCUCACGCCUGGGAAUUGGAAGUGGUGGAGAGCUUGCUGGGCGGUUCCUGCAUCAUCGAGGCAGUGGCGCCGGAGACCUCUUCGAGGGCGGACAUGUCAUCGUUCAAACUCACGGCAUGGACGGCAGAGCCAGAUCAGAUCCCUUCACGCCGGUGGCUGGCGGUGUCGAAGCCGUCUGAGGAGAGGGACAUGUUUAGAUGAAGGUGCUUCAGCACAAAGUGCUCAUUCAUCUGGAUCUGGUGUCAUCGUUUUUGGAAGGGGAGGAGCCAUGGUUCCUGGGAGCCUCGUCGAACAGUGGGCAGAGCGGCUUGCCGGACCCGAAGCUAGACAGGGGCGGCGGUCCAAGCACCCGCAGGUUAUAAUGACAGUUCAGUGUCUGUGAUCGCAAGGGAGCCAAUGUGGGCGGCGGUGGUGGUGUGCGGAGGGCCGGUAGUGCGUCGGUGGCACGGCUGGUGCUGGGCAGGUUGGAGAUUGGCGGAUCCCAUCGAUGGGCCCAGUGCGUCGGGUGGGUGGCCGUGGGCCCGGUGUGGCAGUUCAGGAUAGGCUGAUGUCCCGUCUCUCUGCUUUUGACAGGAUGGGUGGUGCGGAGCUGAAGGAAAUAUGCCCUAGAGGCAAUAAUAAAGUUGUUAUUUAUAUUUCCUUAUAUCAUGAUAAAUGUUUAUUAUUCAUGCUAGAAUUGUAUUAACCGAGAACUUAGUACAUGUGUGAAUACAUAGACAAACAAAUUGUCACUAGUAUGCCUCUACUUGACUAGCUCGUUGAAUCAAAGAUGGUUAAGUUUCCUAACCAUAGACAUGAGUUGUCAUUUGAUUAACGGGAUCACAUCAUUAGAGAAUGAUGUGAUUGACUUGACCCAUUCCGUUAGCUUAGCAUUUGAUCGUUUAGUAUAUUGCUAUUGCUUUCUUCAUGACUUAUACAUGUUCCUAUGACUAUGAGAUUAUGCAACUCCCGAAUACCGGAGGAACACUUUGUGUGCUACCAAACGUCACAAUGUAACUGGGUGAUAAUAAAGGUGCUCUACAGGUGUCUCCGAUGGUACUUGUUGAGUUGGCAUAGAUCGAGAUUAGGAUUUGUCACUCCGAUUGUCGGAGAGGUAUCUCUAUGCCCUCUCGGUAAUGCACAUCACUAUAAGCCUUGCAAGCAAUGCAACUAAUGAGUUAGUUGCGGGAUGAUGUAUUACAAAACGAGUAAAGAGACUUGCCGGUAAUGAGAUUGAACUAGGUAUUGAGAUACCGACGAUCGAAUCUCGGGCAAGUAACAUACCGAUGAUAAAGGGAACAACGUAUGUUGUUAUGCGGUUUAACCGAUAAAGAUCUUCGUAGAAUAUGUAGAAACCAAUAUGAGCAUCCAGGUUCCGCUAUUGGUUAUUGACUGGAGAUGAGUCUCGGUCAUGUCUACAUAGUUCUCGAACCCGUAGGGUCUGCACGCUUAACGUUCUAUGACGAUUUGUAUUAUGAGUUAUGUGAUUUGAUGCCCGAAGUUUGUUCAGAGUCCCGGAUGAGAUCGGGGACAUGACGAGGAGUCUCGAAAUGGUCAAGACAUAAAGAUCGAUAUAUUGGAAGGCUAUAUUCGGACAUUGGAAAGGUUCCGAGUGAUUCGGGUAUUUUUGGAUUACCGGAGAGUUACGGGAAUUCGCCGGGAGAAGUAUUGGGCCUUAUUGGGCCAUAUGGGAAUAGAGGAGGCAGGCCAAAGGGAAGGAGGCGCGCGACCACAUGGGUCCGAAUUGGACUAGGGGAAAGGGGGUGGCGCUGAUACGUCUCCAACGUAUCUAUAAUUUUUGAUUGCUCCAUGCUAUAUUAUCUACUGUUUUGGACAUUAUUGGGCUUUAUUAUCCACUUUUAUAUUAUUUUUGGGACUAACCUAUUAACCGGAGGCCCAGCCCAGAAUUGUUGUUUUUGCCUAUUUUAGGGUUUCGAAGAAAAGGAAUAUCAAACGGAGUCCAAACGGAAUGAAACCUUCGGGAACGUGAUUUUCUCACCGAACAUGAUCCAGGAGACUUGGACCCUACGUCAAGAAACAAAGGAGAAGGCCACGAGGUAGGGGGCGUGCCCUCCACCCUCGUGGGCCCCCUGUUGCUUCACCGACAUACUCCUUCCUCCUAUAUAUACCUACGUACCCCCAAACGAUCAGAGACGGAGCCAAAACCCUAAUUCCACCGCUGUAACUUUUUGUAUCCACGAGAUUCCAUCUUGGGGCCUGUUCCGGAGCUCCGCCGGAGGGGGCAUCCAUCAUGGAGGGCUUCUACAUCAACACCAUAGCCCCUCCGAUGAAGUGUGAGUAGUUUACCUCAGACCUUCGGGUCCAUAUUUAUUAGCUAGAUGGCUUCUUCUCUCUUUUUGGAUCUCAAUACAAUGUUCUCCCCCUUUCUUGUGGAGAUCUAUUUGAUGUAAUCUUCUUUUUGCGGUGUGUUUGUUGAGACCGAUGAAUUGUGGGUUUAUGAUCAAGAUUAUCUAUGAACAAUAUUUGAAUCUUCUCUGAAUUCUUUUAUGUAUGAUUGGUUAUCUUUGCAAGUCUCUUCGAAUUAUCAGUUUGGUUUGGCCUACUAGAUUGAUCUUUCUUGCAAUGGGAGAAGUGCUUAGCUUUGGGUUCAAUCUUAUGGUGUCCUUUCCCAGUGACAGUAGGGGCAGCAAGGCACGUAUUGUAUUGUUGCCAUCGAGGAUAACAAGAUGGUUUUUUUAUCAUAUUGCAUGAAUUUAUCCCUCUACAUCAUGUCAUCUUGCUUAAGGAGUUACUCUGUUUUCAUGAACUUAAUACUCUAGAUGCAAGCUGGAUAGCGGUCAAUGAGUGGAGUAAUAGUAGUAGAUGAAGGCAGGAGUCGGUCUACUUGUCUCGAACGUGAUGCCUAUAUACAUGAUCAUACCUAGAUAUUCUCAUAACUAUGCUCAAUUCUGUCAAUUGCUCAAUAGUAAUUCGUUCACCCACCGUAAAAUACUUAUGCUCUUGAGAGAAGCCACUAGUGAAACCUAUGGCCCCCGGGUCUAUCUUCAUCAUAUUAAUCUUCCAAUACUUAGUUAUUUCCUGUGCUUUUUUACUUUGAUUUUAUUUUACUUUGCAUCUUUAUCACAAAAAUACCAAAAAUAUUAUCUUAUCAUAUCUAUCAGAUCUCACUCUCGUAAGUGACCGUGAAGGGAUUGACAACCCCUUAUCGCGUUGGUUGCGAGGAGUUAUUUGCUUUGUGCAGGUACGAGGGACUCGCGCGUAGCCUCCUACUAGAUUGAUACCCUGGUUCUCAAAAACCGAGGGAAAUACUUAUGCUACUUUGCUGCAUCAUCCUUUCCUCUUCAAGGAAAUCCAACGAAGUGCUCAAGAGGUAGCAAGAAGAAUUCCUGGUGCCGUUGCCGGGGAGUCUACGCAAAAGUCAAUAUACCAAGUACCCAUCACAAUCCUUAUCUCCCGCAUUACAUUAUUUGCCAUUUGCCUCUCGUUUUCCUCUCCCCCAUUUCACCCUUGCCGUUUUAUUUGCCCUCUCUCUCUGUCCUCCCUCUCUUUCUCUAUUUUCCUCCUUUUGCCCGCUUGCCCUUUGUUUUCUUGUGUGUUGGAUUGCUUGCUUGUCACGAUGGCUCAAGAUAACACUAAAUUGUGUGACUUUACCACUACCAACAACAAUUAUUUUAUUAGCACUCCGAUUGCUCCUCUUACCGAUGCUGAUUCUUUUGAAAUUAAUGUCGCUUUACUUAAUCUUGUCAUGAAAGAUCCGUUUUCCGGCCUUCCUAGUGAAGAUGCCGCUACCCAUCUAAAUAGCUUCGUAUUUUUGUGAUAUGCAAAAGAAGAAAGAUGUGGAUAAUGAUAUUGUUAAAUUGAAGCUAUUUCCUUUUUUGCUUAGAGAUCGUGCUAAAGCUUGGUUUUCGUCUUUGCCUAAAAAUAGUAUUGAUUCUUGGAACAAGUGCAAAGAUGCUUUUAUAUCUAAGUAUUUUCCUCCCACUAAGAUCAUCUCCCUAAGAAACGAUAUUAUGAAUUUUAAGCAACUUGAUCAUGAACAUGUUGCACAAGCUUGUGAGAGGAUGAAAUUAAUGAUACGUAAUUGCCCUACUCAUGGUCUGAAUUUGUGGAUGAUUAUACAAAAUUUUAUGCCGGAUUGAAUUUUGCUUCUAGAAAUCUUUUAGAUUCGGCCGCGGGAGGCACUUUUAUGGAAAUCACUUUAGGAGAAGCUACUAAACUCCUAGAUAAUAUUAUGGUUAAUUAUUCUCAAUGGCAUACUGAAAGAUCUACUAAUAAAAAGGUGCAUGCGAUAGAAGAAAUUAAUGUUCUGAGUGGAAAGAUUGAUGAACUUAUGAAAUUAUUUGUUAGUAAGAGUGUUUCUUCUGAUCCUAAUGAUAUGCCCUUCUCUACAUUGACUGAUAAUAAUAAUGAAUCUAUGGAUGUGAAUUUUGUUGGUAGGAAUAAUUUUGGUAACAACGCGUAUAGAGGAAAUUUUAAUCCUAGGCCUUAUCCUAGUAAUCCCUCUAAUAAUUAUGGUAAUUCCUACAAAAAUUCUUAUGAAAAUUAUAAUAAUAUGCCCUCUGAUUUUGAAUCUAAUAUUAAAGAAUUUAUUACUUCACAAAAGAAUUUCAAUGCUUUGAUUGAAGAAAAUUUUCUUAAGAUUGAUGAGUUGGCUAGGAAAGUUGAUAGAAUUUCUCUUGAUGUCGAUUCUUUGAAACUUAGAUCUAUUCCUCCUAAGCAUGAUAUCAAUGAGUCUCUCAAAUCCAUGAGAAUUUCCAUUGAUGAGUGCAAAGAAAGAACCGCUAGGAUGCGUGCUAAGAAAGAUGCCUUUAUAAGAGCGUGUUCUUCUAGUUCCUAUGAAAAUAAAGAUGAAGAUCUAAAAGUUAUUGAUGUGUCCCCUAUUAAAUAUUUGUUUUGCAAUAUGAAUAUUAAUAAUGAUGGGACUGAACAUGAUCCACCUUUACCUAUAAGGCGUUCCAAAAAUUCGGAAUUUUUAGAUCUUGAUGCUAAAUUUGAUGAAAGUGGGAUCGAAGAAAUUAAAACCCUAGAUGUUGCUAAACCCACUAUUUUGGAUUUCAAGGAAUUUAAUUAUUAAAAUUGCUCUUUGAUUGAUUAAAUUACCUUAUGAAUCUAUUAUGAGAGCAACUUAUGGAUUGCCUUCCAAAGAUGGCAAUACCUAGAUCUAUCCUUGCUUUUUAUGCCUAGCUAGGGGCGUUAAACGAUAGCGCUUGUUGGGAGGCAACCCAAUUUUGUUUUUGUUCCUUGCCUUUUGCUACUGUUUAGUAAUAAAUAAUUUAUAUAGCCUCUGUUUAGGUUGUGUUUUUUGUGUUUAAUUAGUGUUUGUGCCAAGUAGAACCGUUGGGAAGACUUGGGGAAAGUCUUGAUAUCUUGCUGUAAAAAACAGAAACUUUAGCGCUCACGAGAAUUGCUGCUGUUUUUAUUUGGAAAGUUCUAUUUAGUUAAUUCUUUUUGAAGAUGAUUAAUAGAUAAAUUCCUCACGUCCAGAAAUUUAUUUUAGAAUUUUUUGGGUUCCAGAUCUUGCGCUAGCUACAGAUUACUACAGACUGUUCUGUUUUUGACAGAUUCUGUUUUUCGUGUGUUGUUUGCUUAUUUUGAUGAAUCUAUGGCUAGUAAAAUAGUUUAUAAACCAUAGAGAAGUUGGAAUACAGUAGGUUUAACACCAAUAUAAAUAAAUAAUGAGUUCAUUACAGUACCUUGAAGUGGUCUUUUUUUUUCUUUCGCUAAUGGAGCUCACGAGAUUUUCUACUUUAAGUUUUGUGUUGUGAAGUUUUCAAGUUUUGGGUAAAGAUUUGAUGGAUUAUGGAACAAGGAGUGGAAAGAGCCUAAGCUUGGGGAUGCCCAUGUAACCCCCAAGAUAAUCUAAUGAUACCUAAAAGCCAAAGCUUGGGGAUGCCCCGGAAGACAUCCCCUCUUUCGUCUACUUCUAUCGGUAACUUUACUUGGAGCUAUAUUUUUAUUCACCGCAUGAUAUGUGUUUUGCUUGGAGCGUCUUGUAUGAUUUGAGUCUUUGCCUUUUAGUUUACCAUAAUCAUACUUGCUGUACACACCUUUUUGAGAGAGCCAUACAUGAUUUGGAAUUUGUUAGAAUACUCUAUGUGCUUCACUUAUAUCUUUUUGAGUUAUAUAGUUUUGCUCUAGUACUUCACUUAUAUCUUUUAGAGCACGGUGGUGGAUUUGUUUUAUAGAAACUAUUGAUCUCUCAUGCUUCACUUAGAUUAUUUUGAGAGUCUUAAAUAGCAUGGUAAUUUGUUUAAAUAAUCCUAAUAUGCUAGGUAUUCAAUAUUAGUAUUUUUUUCUUAUGAGUGUUUUGAAUACUAAGAGAAGGUUGAUGCUUGAUGAUUGUUUUGAGAUAUGGAGGUAAUAAUAUCAAAGUCGUUCUAGUUGAGUAGUUGCAAAUUUGAGAAAUUCUUGUGUUGAAGUUUGCAAGUCCCAUAGCAUGCACGUAUGGUAAACAUUAUAUAACAAAUUUAAAACAUGAGGUGUUAUUUGAUUGUCCUCCUUAUGAGUGGCGGUCGGGGACGAGCGAUGGUCUUUUCCUACCAAUCUAUCCCCCUAGGAGCAUGCGCGUAGUGCUUGGUUUUUGAUGACUUGUAGAUUUUUGCAAUAAGUAUGUGAGUUCUUUAUGACUAAUGUUGAGUCCAUGGAUUAUACGCACUCUCACCCUUCCAUCAUUGCUAGCCUCUUCAGUACCGUGCAUUACCCUUUCUCACACUGAGAGUUGGUGCAAACUUCGCCGGUGCAUCCAAACCCCAUGAUAUGAUACGCUCUUUGACACAUAAACCUCCUUAUAUCUUCCUCAAAACAACCACCAUACCUACCUAUUAUGGCAUUUUCAUAGCCAUUCCGAGAUAUAUUGCCAUGCAACUUUCCACCAUUCCGUUUAUCAUGACACAUUCAUCAUUGCAUAUUGCUUAGCAUGAUUAUGUAGUUGACAUAGUAUUUGUGGCAAAGCCACCGUUCAUAAUUCUUUCAUACAUGUCACUCUUGGUUCAUUGCAUAUCCCGGUACACCGCCGGAGGCAUUCAUAUAGAGUCAUAUCUUGUUCUAAGUAUCAAGUUGUAAUUCUUGAGUUGUAAGUAAAUAGAAGUGUGAUGACCAUCAUUCAUAGAGCAUUGUUCCAAAAAAAGGGAGGCCAGAUAAAAAAGAAAGGAAAAGAAAGGCCAAAUAAAAAAAUAUAAAAGGGACAAUGCUACUAUCCUUUGCCACACUUGUGCUUCAAAGUAGCACCAUAAUCUUCAUGAUAGAGAGUCUUUUGUUUUUUCACUUUCAUAUACUAGUGGGAAUUUUUCAUUAUAGAACUUGGCUUGUAUAUUCCAACAAUGGGCGUCCUCAAGUGCCCUAGGUCUUCGUGAGCAAGCAAGUUGGAUGCACACCCACUUAGUUUCUUUUGUUGAGCUUUCAUACAUUUAUAGCUCUAGUGCAUCCAUUGCAUGGCAAUCCCUACUCCUUGCAUUAACAUCAAUCGCUGGGCAUCUCCAUAGCCCAUUGAUUAGCCUCGUUGAUGUGAGACUUUCUACUUUUUUGUCUUCUCCACAUAACCCCCAUCAUAUUCUAUUCCACCCAUAGUGCUAUAUCCAUGGCUCAUGCUCAUAUAUUGCAUGAAAGUUUAUAGGUUUGAGAUUACUAAAGUAUGAAACAAUUUCUUGGCUUGUCAUCGGGGUUGUGCAUGAUGAGAGCAUUCCCGUGUGACGAAAAUGGAGCAUGACUAAACUAUAUGAUUUUGUAGGGAUGAACUUUCUUUGGCCAUGUUAUUUUGAGAAGACAUAAUUGCUUAGUUAGUAUGCUUGAAGUAUUAUUAUUUUUAUGUCAAUAUGAACUUUUAUCUUGAAUCUUUCGGAUCUGAAUAUUCAUACCACAAUUAAGAAGAAUUACAUUAAAAUUAUGCCAAGUAGCUCUCCGCAUCAAAAAUUCUGUUUUUAUCAUUGACCUACUCGAGGACGAGCAGGAAUUAAGCUUGGGGAUGCUUGAUACGUCUCCAACGUAUCUAUAAUUUUUGAUUGCUCCAUGCUAUAUUAUCUACUGUUUUGGACAUUAUUGGGCUUUAUUAUCCACUUUUAUAUUAUUUUUGGGACUAACCUAUUAACCGGUGGCCCAACCCAGUAUUGCCAUUUUUGCCUAUUUUAGGGUUUCGAAGAAAAGGAAUAUCAAACGGAGUCCAAACAGAAUGAAACCUUUGGGAAUGUGAUUUUCUCACCGAACAUGAUCCAGGAGACUUGGACCCUACAUCAAGAAACAAAGGAGGAGGCCACGAGGUAGGGGGGCGCGCCUACCCCCCAGGUGCGCCCUCCACCCUUGUGGACCCCCUGUUGCUCCACCGACGUACUCCUUCCUCCUAUAUAUACCUACGUACCCCAAACGGUCAGAGACGGAGCCAAAACCCUAAUUCCACCGCCGUAACUUUCUGUAUCCAUGAGAUCCCCUCUUGGGGCCUGUUCCGGAGCUCCGCUGGAGGGGGCAUCCAUCACGGAGGGCUUCUACAUCAACACCAUAGCCCCUCCGAUGAAGUGUGAGUAGUUUACCUAAGACCUUCGGGUCCAUAUUUAUUAGCUAGAUGGCUUCUUCUCUCUUUUUGGAUCUCAAUACAAUGUUCUCCCCCUCUCUUGUGGAGAUCUAUUCGAUGUAAUCUUCUUUUUGCGGUGUGUUUGUUGAGACUGAUGAAUUGUGGGUUUAUGAUCAAGAUUAUCUAUGAACAAUAUUUGAAUCUUCUCCGAAUUCUUUUAUGUAUGAUUGGUUAUCUGUGCAAGUCUCUUCAAAUUAUCAGUUUGGUUUGGCCUACUAGAUUGAUCUUUCUUGCAAUGGGAGAAGUGCUUAGCUUUGGGUUCAAUCUUACGGUGUCCUUUCCCAGUGACAGUCGGGGCAGCAAGGCACGUAUUGUAUUGUUGCCAUCGAGGAUAACAAGAUGGUUUUUUUAUCAUAUUGCAUGAAUUUAUCCCUCUACAUCAUGUCAUCUUGCUUAAGGAGUUACUCUGUUUUCAUGAACUUAAUACUCUAGAUGCAAGCUGGAUAGCGGUCGAUGAGUGGAGUAAUAGUAGUAGAUGCAGGCAGGAGUCGGUCUACUUGUCUCAGAUGUGAUGCCUAUAUACAUGAUCAUACCUAGAUAUUCUCAUAACUAUGCUCAAUUCUAUCAAUUGCUCAACAGUAAUUCAUUCAACCAACGUAAAAUACUUAUGCUCUUGAGAGAAGCAACUAGUGAAACCUAUGGCCCCCUGGUCUAUCUUCAUCAUAUUAAUCUUCCAAUACUUAGUUAUUUCCUUUGCCUUUUACUUUGCUUUUAUUUUACUUUGCAUCUUUAUCACAAAAUACCAAAAAUAUUAUCUUAUCAUAUCUAUCAGAUCUCACUCUCGUAAGUGACCGUGAAGGGAUUGACAAGCCCUUAUCGCGUUGGUUGCGAGGAGUUAUUUGCUUUGUGCAGGUACGAGGGACUCGCGCGUAGUCACCUACUGGAUUGAUACCUUGGUUCUCAAAAACCGAGGGAAAUACUUACGCUACUUUGCUGCAUCAUCCUUUCCUCUUCAAGGAAAUCCAACGCAGUGCUCAAGAGGUAGCAGGCGCGCCCCCUUGCCCUUUCCUACUCCCUUUCUCUUUCCCUCUUUCUUCUCUCCUACUCCGGAAAGGAAAAGGGGAAUCCUCCUAGGACUUGGGAGUCCUAGUAGGACUCCCCACACUUGGCGCGCCCCCUCUAGGGCCGGCCUCCUCCUCCUCCCUCAUUUAUAUACGUGGGCAGGGGACACCCCAAAGACACACAAGAUGAUCAUUGAUCUCUUAGCCGUGUGCGGUGCCCCCCUCCACCAUAAUCCACCUCGGUCAUAUCGUCGUAGUGCUUAGGCGAAGCCCUGCGCCGGUAGCUUCAUCAUCACCGUCAUCACGCCGUCGUGCUGACGAAGCUCUCCCUCGAAGCUCUACUGGAUCGUGAGUUCGUGGGACGUCAUCGAGCUGAACGUGUGCAGAUCGCGGAGGUGCCGUACGUUCGGUACUAGGAUCGGUCGAUCGUGAAGACGUACGACUACAUCAACCACAUUGUCAUAAUGCUUCCGCUUAUGGUUUACGAGGGUACAUGGACAAUACUCUCCCCUCUCAUUCCUAUGCAUCACCAUGAUCUUGCGUGUGCGUAGGAAAAAUUUGAAAUUACUACAUUCCCCAACAGGAGCAACAUGUGGAGGAGAUCACCCACCGGGAGGUUCAAAAUUCAAAUCUGCAACGCGCCAUCAACGGUGCUGAGGUGAAGGUGGUACAUGAUGUCUACUACACAACCUUCUUCUUGUAGACGUUGUUGGGCCUCCAAGUGCAGAGGUUUGUAGGACAAUAGCAAAUUUCCCUCAAGUGGAUGACCUAAGAUUUAUCAAUCCGUGGGAGGCGUAGGAUGAAGAUGGUCUCUCUCAAACAACCCUGCAACCAAAUAACAAAGAGUCUCUUGUGUCCCCAACACACCCAAUACAAUGGUAAAUUGUAUAGGUGCAUUAGUUCGGCGAAGAGAUGGUGAUACAAGUGCAAUAUGGAUGGUAGAUAUAGGUUUUUGUAAUCUGAAAAUAUAAAAACAACAAGGUAAGUAACGAUAAAAGUGAGCACAAACGAUAUUGCGAUGCUUCGAAACAAGGCCUAGGGUUCAUACUUUCACUAGUGGAAGUUCUCUCAACAAUAAUAACAUAAUUGGAUCAUAUAAAUAUCCCUCAACAUGCAAAAAAGAGUCACUCCAAAGUCACUAAUAGUGGAGAACAAACGAAGAGAUUAUUGUAGGGUACAAAACCACCUCAAAAUUAUCCUUUCUGAUCGAUCUAUUCAAGAGUCCGUAGUAAAAUAACAUGAAGUUAUUCUUUCCGUUCGAUCUAUCCUAGAGUUCGUACUAGAAUAACACCUUAAGACGCAAAUCAACCAAAACCCUAAUGUCACCUAGAUACUCCAAUGUCACCUCAAGUAUCCGUGGGUAUGAUUAUAUGAUAUGCAUCACACAAUCUCAGAUUCAUCAAUCCAACCAACACAAAGAACUUCAAAGAGUUCCCCAAAGUUUCUACCAGAGAGUCAAGAUGAAAACGUGUGCCAACCCCUAUGCAUAAGUUCACAGUGUCACGAAACUCGCAAGUUGAUCACCAAAACGUACAUCAAGUGGAUCACGUGAAUAUCUCAUUAUCACCACAGAUAAGCACAUGCAAGACAUACAUCAAGUGUUCUCAAAUCCUUAAAGACUCAAUCCGAUAAGAUAACUUCAAAGGGAAAACUCAAUUCAUCACAAGGAGAUAGAGGGGGAGAAGCAUCAUAAGAUCCAACUAUAAUAGCAAAGCUCGUGGUACAUCAAGAUCAUGCCGAAUCAAGAACACGAGAGAUAGAUCAAACACAUAGCUACUGGUACAUACCCUCAGCCCUGUGGGUGAACUACUCCCUCCUCGUAAUGGCACUACAAAAAAAAAGACAC